CUUUAUUGAACGAUGGGGUCUCAAAUGGGCUGCCUCUUUGCCACUCUUUUGGUAGUAUCAGUCUCUCUUAGCUACUUGCCGUUAGAAGCCUCCGCAAACAAAUACUACUACACAUCUCCUCCCCCUCCCAAGUACAAGUCUCCACCACCACCCCCGCCACCGGUUCACAAUUCUCCACCACCACCCCCGGUUUACCUGCCCCCGCCACCUCCUCCACCAGUCUACGUGCCUGCUCCGGCACCAACUCCAAUUUUCCCUUCUCCGCCACCUCCUGUCCCCAAGUCCCCACCACCACCUCACCCUUACGUCUAUGCAUCUCCCCCUCCUCCUUACUACUACUAGAAAGCGGCCAUGAAUAGCUCAUGCUUUUAUGGUAAUCUCAUUUAUUUUUAAAACUGUACAUGUAAAGACUAGUAGUUCAGAAUUACAUUAAGCAUUUCAAUUUUAAGCACCGUGUUCUGUUUAAUUGCGUUCCUAUUGAUUAAGUGACAAAUAAAAGAGAUUGAUUAAUUUGUUCUUGUAGGAGAGGCGAAUGGUAUCCGAAUAAAGAAAGCAAGGGUUUGAUGGAAGGCUUACUUGGAGCAAGAUAGCGAUCAAUCGAGUUGCUGCGUUUUAUUCUCUUUUAUCUUUGUUUUUUAAGAAAAAUAAACUGCCACACGUAGAAACAGAAAAUUAAGUUCUUGUCAUUUUCAUGCAUAUGGAUUGUUGCUGUGUGUGUCAAUCAAAUCUCCGUUGUGUCAUUUGUAAUUUUCAACCUUUAUGCAUGCAAAUGCGAGACCUCUUACGUAUAAUAAAAUUAAUAUACUUCCCAAGAUGGUCUUAUCUUGCGUUGACUUUUUACGUUCCUUUGGUGAUGAUUUUGACGUUUGAAAUUGAUGACUAAUUGACUAUUGUUUUUGUAAACUCUGACAUGGAUUUUUCGUGCAACUACAGAGCGCAUUAACGAGAGACUUAUCCAUGAGGGUCCAUGCAGAUCAGUGUCUAAUUAACCAAUAAUUAAUAUAACUAAAAAAAUAUAGAGUUAACUAUUUUUAUGGGUCAGGCUCAAUUGCAGAUGUUCGUACAAAAUUUCUUGCUAAUGUAUACUUGAGUAUGAUAAUAAGUUUUUAAUCAUUAUUAAUAAUUCACUUGAUAAUAUUAAACAAAUUUUCAUAUCAAUUAAGUUACAAAAUUUCUGUGACAAAUUUCCGCGUACUGGAACCAUGCAAAAGGGCUUUAUUCAAACAAAACUGCAUAGCCGUUGGCAAUUAAAAUUAUUUAUCAAUUAAGUUAAGUAGUAAGAAUUGGAUUGUGGAUUCCAUUAAUUAUUUCAAGGAAAAUUUUAUAGAUAAUGCCGUAAUGAAAUUUACGGCAUCAAUACCAUGAUAAAUAUAAAUAUUGUAAAUUACAAAUAGAAUUAGUAAAUGUAAAGUAAAACCAGUAAAUUCAUAAAAGAUUAUUAAUUAUUUAAAAAAUUAACAUUGUUUCUACAUAAUUUUAGUGAAAAAUAUUUUAUUCAUUUACAAAAACAUUUCUUUAAUUAAACAAAAAAAUUCAUUAAUUAAGCAAAAAAAUUAUACUGAAAAAAAAGUGGAAUAAGUUUAAUUGAAUUGGUUAUCAUAAAUUCUAUAUUUAGUCUAGGACAUUUUUAUACAUUUUCUUCCCAUUUUCGAUAAUGAUAUCUAUUUGUUACACAUGUUAAUUAAGUGCAAUUAUUUAUCUUGAUGUGGAUCAAGUAAAAAAAUAUCAUAAAUAAGAUAUCAAUAAAAUUAGAUCUAAUUUUGAAUAUUAUGUAUACUUUAUGUAGUUUCAAACUUUUUACUUGUAUUUGGAGACCAUUUAAGGUUGUUGUUGAAGAAGUGUAGAAAGAUGUAAAAUAACUUCAUCUUACAACAACUAUGAAAGAUAUUAAAAUAAUAAUUUUUUCAAAAUCCGAUUUUGAGAAAAAAAUUCAUCCUUAAUUAAACAUCACAUGUAUUAUAGAAAUGCAAAACUACCAUUGUUAUAUUUAACUUAAAAAAUAAUAAAUAUAUAAGGUAAUAAACAUUAUAAAGAGUUUUUAUUUUAAAAUUGUAAACUUUUGUUUCUGACAAUAACUCUUAUAUUAAUUUAUUUAUUUUGCCUUUUAUUCAUAAGUUUUAUGCAUAAUUUACAAACUUUAAGUUUUAUUUUGCAUUUUAUGUUGAUUUGGUUUUUUUAUAUUAUACGUACAAGUUUUCUUUUUAUUUACCAGUAAUACAUCAAUUUAUCAGCUUGAUAGUAAUUUACUUAUUUUACCUUCCUUUUACAAUUCUUAUGUUUCAUUUCCAAAAUUUAUGUUUUAUUUUACAGUUGUUGAUGAUUUACUAGUUUUAUGUUAUGUUUGCAAGUUUUUGUUUUGUUUACUAGUAAUAGAUUAAUGGGUAAUUUUUAAUUGAGUCCUCAUUAGUUCUAGAAAAACAAUUCAGAGACCAGAAGUUUACUAAAUGAAUCAAUUAAAUUCUUUCAAGUACAAACUAAUGUCAUUCAAGUCCUUAACUUAAUUGGUCAGUUAAAAAUAUUAACAACGUUGAGGACAUUUUAGUAAAACAACAAUUGAGUCGUUUCUCAUUCUUUAUUUUUGACAGGUGGAAAUAGUUUAAAGUAAACUCACUUAACCUGAUUAAGUUAAGGAUCAGUUCUUUCAAAUGAAAAAAAAAAAAAAAAACCUACAGAAACUGCCAUAUUCUUCGUGUGGGAGGAGAGAUCGAGAGAACGUGGGAUGGUGCAAAAAAUGUUGUAUAAAUCUACUGUGAUUUUGACCAAAGCUUUGGUAGCAUUGAUUGAGUUCAAGUACUGGAGAGAACCUGAGUUUAAAGGUUAGUAACUCUAUUUUUUUAGUGAUUUUUGCAAGCAUUUUCUGAUAAAAAAUUUUCCGUAUUGAGUGAUCGUUGUGAAAAAUUAAGUUUUUCAAGUCUAUUUUACAAAAUGACAAACUAUGUUUAAUUAUUGGUGGAUUCUUUUUUUUGUUCAAUGUUGUAUUUUGUUAAUUUGUUGUUUUUAAUUUGCUCUUAAUGUAAUUGUUAGACCAAAUACACCAUUAUUAUACCUAUAUUCAUUUCAACAAUUUGGUAUCGUUAUAUUAAUAAGAUUGAAUUCAUUGUAUUUGCUUCUUUGUUCAUGUAAAAUUGAAUUCUAUGUAUUCUUAUGAGUGAUAAUUUUUCUAUCUAUUAGACUAAAUUCACUAUAUUCACUACUUUCUUUCUUUUUGCUGGGCUAUUUUUUCUUUUUAGUUUAUAUUUUUAUAUGUAUUAGAUUGAAUUUGCUUUUGUACGUUUUUUUAGCCGAAUUACAUGUAUAUUUCAUUUAGGUUGAGUUUUUUUUGUUGUUUGCUAAAUAAAAUUAUAUUGGUUUAUCCCCUUUUUAUGCAAUACUUUUUGUUUAAAAUUAAUACAGUUAGCCAUGUUACCUUUUUUUUCAGUUAAAAUUAAUGGGGUGAUGUAGGCGAUAGGAUAUAGGGAACCAGAGGAAUAUAAGAUUAUUAGGCUGUUUCUUGAAAUUCAAGAUGUCAUGGUUAAGCAUGGACACAGUGAAAUGGAUUUGAUUGAAAUUUUUGUUGUAUUGCCAUGGACUACAAGUGGCCAGAGGAAGCUAAUUUCAAACGAUAGUGAAUUGUAUUGGGUUUUCGAGGAGUUUUUUUUAAUCAAUAGUUGUCCUGUCAUUGAGUUUGAGGUGCACACUGGGUCAGGUGGUCAGUCAUUUCAUGAAAGUGUUGUAAUAGGACCUGAAAAUCCUGUCAAUAUUAAAAAUUAGUGUUGUAAUAGUGAUAAGUUUGAAAAUGUUGUGGCUAAAAAGGUCUGCCUAGAAUAAUUGGUACUUCUUUAUUUGCCUCAAAGUCCAACACUAUGAAAUCCACAAGGAAAAAGAAUUUAUCCACUUUAACCAGCACGUCUUCAAUCUUGCCUUCAGGAUAAGCAUGAGAUCUGGCAGCACAUUGCAAUGUCACUGUGGUUGGUUUGACUUCUCCAACUCCCAAUUGCUUGAAUUCUGAUAAUGUCAUAAGAUUGAUGCUUGCUCCCAAACCACAAAGUGUCUUGCCACUGUAUUUAGUCCCUAUGGAACAAUGAAUUGUGAAACUUCCUGGAUCCUUCAACUUCUGAGGCAUUUUACUCUGAAGCAUAUGGCUGCAUUCUUGUGUUAGACCAACUAUUUCAAAUUCUCCGAGCCUCAUUUUCCUUGCCAAUAUACAUUUCCAAAAACUUUACAUAAUUUGGCAUUUGUUCUAAUGCUUCCACAAAAGAAAUGUUGAUAUGCAGUUCUUUCCAUACUUCCAAGAAUUUACUGAACUGCAUGUCUUGCUUUCGCUUUUGAAAUCUUUGUGGGAAGGGUGGUGGAUGUGUAAAUUGUUGUACUGCAGCAGACUAUACAUAUUGCUUUUCUCUUGCUCUAUUAUGGUAUGUUAUUAUUGGUGUUGCAGCUUCUUCCUCAACAAGCAUUGAAUCAUGUUUUUUUGCAGUUGCUAUAACUUAGCAACUCUCACCAGUGUGCUGGAAAAUGGGUUGUUGUGUCUCUUCUUUAAUUUGAGUUUCCCCUUGGGUUGAAUUAGGUUCCACUCUUCUUUUUGGUACUUUAACAAGUAUAUGAACAUCCUUUCCAAACCUUAAGUUAAUCCCCUUACAAUGCUCUUUUCCUUCUCUCUUUCGAUCCUCUGUAUUGUUUAGUAAAUUGUCCUGAGGUAUGUUGCUCAAUUUUGUAGCAAGCUGUCCAAUCUUAUUCUCCAAGUUUCUUAAAAAUACAGCUUGGCUUUAGACCACUACUUCAAUCUUUACAAUAUACUCCUUAAUCAGAGUUUCAAUGGAACUAAAUUGAUCAUUACUGGUGUUUCUUUACCCUUCAAAUUUCUGGUGAAAAUCAGGUGGCUGAGCAAGUCUGUUCUGUCCACUGGAUGCUGCAGCAUGCUGAUUCUGAUUGCUCCUUUUAAAAUUUGGGUGAUGUCUCCAUCCUAGGUUAUAGGUGUUUGAAAAUGGAUUGCUUUGAUUUUGUUUAUUAAAAUUGCCCACAUAAUUGACGGAAGCUGAAUUCCUAGGACAAUUAUGAUAUAGAUGUCCCUCUCCAUAAUAAACACAAGAGACUUCAGCAAUUUGGUUAACUGUUGCCGGAGCAGUGGCCGUUGCUUUUACCAUAUUUGUCAAUGAGGUUACUUAGGCUGAUAAUGUUGUCAGUGCAUCCACAUUGUGUACUCCUGCUGCUCCUCUCACUGUGGCUUGUCUAGUUGAUGGCCAUUGAUAGUUAUCCUUUCUAAAAUUUCAUAAGCCUCAUUAUAUGAGUUAGACAAUAAAGCCCCUAGUUAUUGAGUUCAACCCAUUGUAGAAAGUUUCCAAUUGUAUGCAAUAAGGAAUACCAUGAUGAGGGCAUCUCCUGAGUAACCCCUUGAAUCUUUCUCAUGCAUCAUACAAGCUUUCAUCUUCAAGUUGAUGGAAAGAUGUGAUCUCAUUCUUCAACUUUGCAUUCUUUGUUGGUGGGAAAUAUUUCAUCAAAAGUUUGUCAGCCAAAUAAUUCCAUGUGGUGAUGGAGUCUGGUUGCAAAGAACUCCACUGUACCAACUAAAAUUGAUUUCACAAAACACAAUAAGCACCAAUCCCCGGCAACGGCGCAAAAAACUUGUUGUCGAUUUUCUAAUGCUAUUAGUGUCAAUGUGAAAAUGUACACAACAAGUAAUAUAACGAUAAGUAUUCACUCCACAAGGAUUAUUAUUAUAGGAAUUGCUACAGUAAUUCUAUCAGUGCCAUUCUUAUUAUAAAUUAGAAUUUAAACAAAUUAUUCAACUAAUGAACUAAGGCAGAUCUUAUUGGGCUAGUCGGCAAUGUGUUGCUUUAGGUCGUGUGGAAUAGUUGCGGGAGUGAUCUUGCAUGAUGUGUGGAGCUAUAACAGUGCUGAGCAUGGGCCAAUCUAUGGGCUCAUGGAACUAGCGAACCUAAUCUAGAAUUUCGAGGAAGAGUACUCUGGUUAGUACUCUAAAUUACCUUAUUAUAUUUUGCACAAACAGAGGCAUGUUAGUGAAAUAAUAUCUAAGCAACCCAAGAGGGGGGUGAAUUGGGUUUCUAAAAAUUAUGCAAUUCUUAAACAAAACUUAAUGCAAAUCUUAAACGAAUUUAAAGCAAUAAUACAUAAAUCAACCAAGGUAUAAAAAGAUAAGGGAAGAGAGAUUAAAACACAGAGAGUUUUACGUGGUUCGGCCAACCUUGCCUACAUCCACACCCCCAAGCACACCGAGCUUGGGCAUUCCACUAGUCAAGCCUUCAAGGCUUCAAGAACACUUACAAUUGACUUCUUAGGUGUCAAUCAACCUUUACAUCUAGAGAUUAUCCCCAAUCUCUUAACCCAAGUGUAUCCCAAUAUUUACAAUCACUCAAAAUAAAGAUUACAAAUUUAUUUUUCUCUCACACAAUUUUUUAAGAUUACAAAUCAACGCUUAAUGUGUGAAUAAAUGAACAAGAAUGAAUUUGAAGCUCAAUGAAUGUUGUAUUCUCGAUUAUAAGCUCAAUGAUAACGUUGUGAUAAGCUCUUGUUUGAAUUUGAUUGAUCUUAUUUAUAGUUGGAGUUGAAAAAUAGCCAUUGUUGACUUUUUCCCGAAAUUGGAUCGCCGUUAACCGUUAUCGGUUAACCGUUUUGACUGGUCCAAGUGACCGUUGAGCUGAAUUUCAAAUAAACGGUUGAUCUUUUGACACUAUCGGUUUGCUGUUAAUUUCCAUAAACCUGUAAAACAAAUUUAUGCUAUUCGUUCUUGCUAAACGGUUGAAGGUCAGCAUGGAAUGACAUUCUAGAAAUUAUUGGUUGGCCGUUUGAAGUUCACGGUUCACCGUUUACUUCUAGAAUCACAGUUUUAACCAAAUUUCGCAGGGAAUGCUUUUUCGGUUAAAGUUAACGAUUAUCCAUAUUUCAUGAACACAUUUAGAAAAAUCAUACGACUUUUGAGAAAUUGUUUAGUAAUGAAAACUCUAACAUUUUAAUCAAAUACAUUUAAAGUUUGUUAUCAUCAAAAUCAAUAUAAUGAACAUCUACAUGUUAACAGUUAGGCCUUGAUUAUUUUUUAAAUCUUAUAAGAUAUAGAGUGAUAAUAGUAACUCAAUUUUCAUAAAACGUGGAAAGAUCAGUCGCCAAAUUUAUAGAUGCCAUAGAAAAUCUAGAUUUUAGUAAGGAAUAUCAAGUUAUUUAUACAAUGAAAAUUGUUAAAACUCGAUUAAUUGCAAGGAAACACUUUUAGAGAGAUAUGGAGAGAAUAAACUUUGAAGAUAACAAUGAAAUACAUGACACAUUUAAGGAAGAAAAUAUAAUAGUAUUAAUAGAAUCUAUUUUAACCAGUCUUAAGAUAAUUCAAGAUUGAUGCAAAAUAAAUAACAGGACUCUAAACCGUCCAUAAUAAGUCUAUUGAUUAAUAAUAAUAAUAAUAGUGAUGUGAAAUUUUUUAUUCAGAAUGCUCAAUUUAGAUUAUAAUAUCUAUGUGAAAGCAUUGAUGGCAUGUACCUUGGUUAGGAAAAUAGAUUGGACACAUGGAUAUAUAUGUUGGAAGAACAAAUCUAGUUUAUAUCUCAAGAGAGAUAAUAAAUUAUAAAUGCCGGUGCUAUAGUAUAUUCAGAUUUUAUAAAUCUUUAUAAAUUUAAUAAUCAUUUAGAUCUUCAUAAAAUUAUAAUAAAACUUUAAAAAACUUUAAAAAUAUAUGUAGAAGAGAUGGAAGAAGAAAUCAUCCAGUUAUUCAAAAUCAAUUAAACAGAAAUAGAAGGUAAAAUCCUUGAAUUAUAUAAAUUAUACAAUUUCACAGAAAUUUUGCAUAUAUUGCAAAACGGUCCUUGUGGCACUAAUUAUGGGACUAGUGUAGCAUAAAUACUAAUAUUGCUUUUUAUUUUGUAAAUUAAUUGUUGCGUCAUAAUGUUUUUACAUACACAUUUUAUGUUUUAAAAUAUGAAUUUUUUUUUUUUGUAUUUAGGGAUAAUUUUACAAUUUCAUACUUUGUUCAAUUAUAUAUACAGGUCCUUAACGUGUUGGUUGAUGUUGAAUAUUCAAAGAUCCACAAGCUAUCAACGACAACGAAUCAAAUUAAACUAAUUAGUUAAUACAUAAUGACUGGGUUGUUUCCUAUGUUGUUAAUGAUGUAGGACGUUAUUUUAGGAUUUUAGAAUUGUAAUUUUUAGGUCUUCUGAUAUUUUCUUUUUUAAUUAAAGUUAGUGUCUUAGUUUUUUAUUUAUUUAUGUUAUAAUUAUAAUUUACUUUCUCUUUUUAAGUUAACUUAGGAAAAUAUAUUUACUGUAUUAUAAAUAAAGAGAUCUUGUUAUUACUUUAUAACUUCAACUUCAGUUAUUCAAUUAAAAACCCCUCUUUUAUAAUUUCAUUUUGUAUUAUUUAUUAAAAACCCCUCUUUUAAAGUUGUUUGAUUAGAGCAUCAUCCAGCCUUGCUUAACGCAGUAUUAAAAAUCCAUUUGAGUUUAAUCACACUUCGAUUAGAGCGUAACUUAAUUGCAUUGACUUGGUCCAGUACUUGAACGAUAUCUAGUGUUUUGCUUCCGCUAUGCCAAGGAGAAAAUUAAUUUCACCGUGAGAUAAGAGCAUUAAAAGGAAUUCAUAAGAAAUUUAAAUUAAAGCUAUAUAUGUUAAAUAUAUCGCUAGCUACUUGUUUUUGGAGGAAUUAAAACAAUUAAUAAGCUGCGAAGUGAAAAUGAAUAAAUAAAUGAAAUGAGGUUGAAAAUAAGUCUCGCCGCCUGGAUCCAAGGCCAAAACAUUCAUGAUAAGUUAGGUAAUUAAGUACAUGUUUUCAAGCUCUUCAUGAAGAAUAACGUUAUUGAAAUAAAUCACAAAGACUCCCUGCGCAAAUUAUUACAUUGAUUAAAAAAAAAAAGCCAUAUCUUUAACAGGAUCGUGACUCUCGGACUGUUAAUUACUUUAUUCCCUGCUUGGCCAACAGCUGGCCACUAAACAAAAUCAUAAAAAUUUUAAAUUUAGUCAAAUUGGUCCCACUUGAUGACAUCCUUUCCAUACAUAAAAUUGUUUAACGUCAAGGUUAAAUAUGAGAAGUUUGGUAGAGAAGGUAAAAAGGAAGUCUAUAUAAGGAGGGGAACGAGCUUUGUUUAUAGCACAAGUGAAACUCCACUUUAUUGAACGAUGGGGUCUCAAAUGGGCUGCCUCUUUGCCACUCUUUUGGUAGUAUCAGUCUCUCUUAGCUACUUGCCGUUAGAAGCCUCCGCAAACAAAUACUACUACACAUCUCCUCCCCCUCCCAAAUACAAGUCUCCACCACCACCCCCGCCACCGGUUCACAAUUCUCCACCACCACCCCCGGUUUACCUGCCCCCGCCACCUCCUCCACCAGUCUACGUGCCUGCUCCGGCACCAACUCCAAUUUUCCCUUCUCCGCCACCUCCUGUCCCCAAGUCCCCACCACCACCUCACCCUUACAUCUAUGCAUCUCCCCCUCCUCCUUACUACUACUAGAAAGUGGCCAUGAAUAGCUCAUGCUUUUAUGGUAAUCUCAUUUAUUUUUAAAACUGUACAUGUAAAGACUAGUAGUUCAGAAUUACAUUAAGCAUUUCAAUUUUAAGCACCGUGUUCUGUUUAAUUGCGUUCCUAUUGAUUAAGUGACAAAUAAAAGAGAUUGAUUAAUUUGUUCUUGUAGGAGAGGCGAAUGGUUUCCGAAUAAAGAAAGCAAGGGUUUGAUGGAAGGCUUACUUGGAGCAAGAGAGCGAUCAAUCGAGUUGCUGCGUUUUAUUCUCUUUUAUCUUUGUUUUUUAAGAAAAAUAAACUGCCACACGUAGAAACAGAAAAUUAAGUUCUUGUCAUUUUCAUGCAUAUGGAUUGUUGCUGUGUGUGUCAAUCAAAUCUCCGUUGUGUCAUUUGUAAUUUUCAACCUUUAUGCAUGCAAAUGCGAGACCUCUUACGUAUAAUAAAAUUAAUAUACUUCCAAAGAUGGUCUUAUCUUGCGUUGACUUUUUACGUUCCUUUGGUGAUGAUUUUGACGUUUGAAAUUGAUGACUAUUGUUUUUGUAAACUCUGACAUGGAUUUUUCGUGCAACUACAGAGCGCAUUAACGAGAGACUUAUCCAUGAGGGUCCAUGCAGAUCAGUGUCUAAUUAACCAAUAAUUAAUAUAACUUAAAAAAUAUAGAGUUAAUAAUUUUUAUGGGUCAUGCUCAAUUGCAGAUGUUCGUACAAAAUUUCUUGCUAAUGUAUACUUGAGUAUGAUAAUAAGUUUUAAUCAUUAUUAAUAAUUCACUUGAUAAUAUUAAACAAAUUUUCAUAUCAAUUAAGUUACAAAAUUUCUGUGACAAAUUUCCACGUACUGGAACCAUGCAAAAGGGCUUUAUUCAAGCAAAGCUGCAUAGCCGUUGGCAAUUAAAAUUAUUUAUCAAUUAAGUUAAGUAGUAAGAAUUGGAUUGUGGAUUCCAUUAAUUAUUUCAAGGAAAAUUUUAUAGAUAAUGCCGUAAUGAAAUUUACGGCAUCAAUAUCACGAUAAAUAUAAAUAUUGUAAAUUACAAAUAGAAUUAGUAAAUGUAAAGUAAAACCAGUAAAUUCAUAAAAGAUUAUUAAUUAUUUAAAAAAUUAACAUUGUGUUAUGUUUGCAAGUUUUUGUUUUGUUUACUAGUUUUAUGUUAUGUUUGCAAGUUUUUGUUUUGUUUACUAGUAAUAGAUUAAUGGGUAAUUUUUAAUUGAGUCCUCAUUAGUUCUAGAAAAACAAUUCAGAGACCAGAAGUUUACUAAAUGAAUCAAUUAAAUUCUUUCAAGUACAAACUAAUGUCAUUCAAGUCCUUAACUUAAUUGGUCAGUUAAAAAUAUUAACAACGUCGAGGACAUUUUAGUAAAACAACAAUUGAGUCGUUUCUCAUUCUUUAUUUUUGACAGGUGGAAAUAGUUUAAAGUAAACUCACUUAACCUGAUUAAGUUAAGGAUCAGUUCUUUCAAAUGAAAAAAAAAAAAAAAAAAAACCUACAGAAACUGCCAUAUUCUUCGUGUGGGAGGAGAGAUCGAGAGAACGUGGGAUGGUGCAAAAAAUGUUGUAUAAAUCUACUGUGAUUUUGACCAAAGCUUUGGUAGCAUUGAUUGAGUUCAAGUACUGGAGAGAACCUGAGUUUAAAGGUUAGUAACUCUAUUUUUUUAGUGAUUUCUGCAAGCAUUUUCUGAUAAAAAAUUUUCCGUAUUGAGUGAUCGUUGUGAAAAAUUAAGUUUUUCAAGUCUAUUUUACAAAAUGACAAACUAUGUUUAAUUAUUGGUGGAUUCUUUUUUUUGUUCAAUGUUGUAUUUUGUUAAUUUGUUGUUUUUAAUUUGCUCUUAAUGUAAUUGUUAGACCAAAUACACCAUUAUUAUACCUGUAUUCAUUUCAACAAUUUGGUAUCGUUAUAUUAAUAAGAUUGAAUUCAUUGUAUUUGCUUCUUUGUUCAUGUAAAAUUGAAUUCUAUGUAUUCUUAUGAGUGAUAAUUUUUCUAUCUAUUAGACUAAAUUCACUAUAUUCACGACUUUCUUUCUUUUUGCUGGGCUAUUUUUUCUUUUUAGUUUAUAUUUUUUAUAUGUAUUAGAUUGAAUUUGCUUUUGUACGUUUUUUUAGCCGAAUUACAUGUAUAUUUUAUUUAGGUUGAGUUUUUUUGUUGUUUGCUAAAUAAAAUUCUAUUGGUUUAUCAUUUUUUGAUGCAAUACUUUUUGUUUAAAAUUAAUGCAGGUAGCCAUGUUACCUUUUUUUCGGUUAAAAUUAAUUGGGUGAUGUAUGCGAUAUAGGGAACCAGAGGAAUAUAAGAUUAUUAGGUUGUUUCUUGAAAUUCAAGAUGUCAUGGUUGAGCAUGGACACAGUGAAAUGGAUUUGAUUGAAAUUUCUGUUGUAUUGCCAUGGACUACAAGUAGGCAGAGGAAGCUAAUUUCAAACGAUAGUGAAUUGUAUUGGGUUUUCGAGGAGUUUUUUUUUUUUUUUUAUCAAUAGUUGUCCUGUCAUUGAGUUUGAGGUGCACAUUGGGUCAGGUGGUCAGUCAUUUCAUGAAAGUGUUGUAAUAGGACCUGAAAAUCCUGUCAAUAUAGGUGUUAGUGUUAUAAUAGUGAUAAGUUUGAAAAUCCUGUGGCUAAAAAGGGUAUGCCUAGAAUAAUUGGUACUUCUUUAUUUGCCUCAAAGUUCAACACUAUGAAAUCCACCAAGAAAAAGAAUUUAUCCACUUUAACCAGCAAUCUUCAAUCUUGCCUUCAGGAUAAGCAUGAGAUCUGUCAGCACAUUGCAAUGACACUGUGGUUGGUCUGACUUCUCCAACUUCCAAUUGCUUGAAUUCUGAUAAUGUCAUAAGAUUGAUGGCUUGCUCUCAAAUCACAAAGUGUCUUGCCACUGUAUUUAGUUCCUAUGGAACAAGGAAUUGUGAAACUUCCUGGAUCCUUCAACUUCUGAGGCAUUUUACUCUGAAGCAUAUGGCUGCAUUCUUGUGUUAGAGCAACUAUUUCGAAUUCUCCAAGCCUCCACUACUAGAAAAACAGGCUACUAUGACAGAAUUUUUGUGAUAGAUAUCAGAAAAUUAGUCAUUUAUCACAAAAAUAUAACAUACAUGUGAUAGAAUUUUCAUAUAUCAACAAGGCAUGAUAGAUUUGUGAUAGUUUCUUUAUCUGUCACUUGUACAUGAUAGCAUAUUAAUAUAGUAAUGAAACGGUGAGUUUAAGAUUGGCCAAUUUGGGCAUUGAACGACACCGUGUCUUGAAGCCUUUAAAAAAAAUUCUAAGUGUUGGACACUCCUUUGAACUUCACAUAGAAAACCCUAAUUUCUACAUCCAAACUGAAUCACACAAAAAUACACCAUCACACUUGCCGCCAAUAAAUUGUUGUUGUUCGUCUUUGUCGUCAUCUUCAUCCCCACUCCACAGCUUGCUGGCUAUUCCCAUUUCCCUUUUAUAGCUUGAACAACUGAUCUUCUUCAAGUUCGAGCCACUGUUACUGACUUCUUUCGGGAGAGGUAAGUGAUUAAUUCUUUUUUUUUUUUGAAGAGACAACAAUCACCAUAAAUUUCUCAAAAUCCCUAAAAUUAUGCCAAAAAAAGGAAAAAAUAAAGCCGUUCCAUGGCCUUAAAGGACUGACUUCGAGUUCGUGGACUAACGUGCCAACGACUCCGCUUUAUGGCCUUCGUGGAACGAUUCCGUGACACGCGAGUGGCAGCGUGCUAUUUACGUGGAGUCGGAUCGGAGAAGAUUGUACUACGAGGAGUUGGCGAUGUGAGAAAGACAGCGAGUUAGCUACUACGUCUUCGACUUAGGGUAAAAUUUUGGCAGAAUUUGAACUGAAAUUUAGUGGGUUUUGAGUGGUAAGACGAGGUUUUGAGAGAGGAAAAGGAGUGUUUGGCUGGCGAGAAAGUGAGAGAAAGUUUUUGAGUGUGGAGUGAUGGCUUCUCUGUUUUUACUUCUUUAUUGUUCUUUAUUGAGUAGAUGGUGACGAUACAAACUUUUAACAUUGUUUACUUAAUUAAUUGGAUAACAAUCUUACAUGACUAUUUUGAUUUAUCAGAUAAAUCAGUUAGAGAAGAAUGGAGAUGUUGUUGCUCAGGCACGAGCAAUUACAGCAAUCUAGACACUCUGCCCCGUCUUUCUUUCAAUGUUGUUGGCACACUGAAUAAUUUCCUUAGUGACAAGUUAACCAAAUUUAGAGGUAUAUGUGAUUUUGAUUUGACUUACUCUUAAUGAAAUACAAUAAGGAUUUUUUCUGUUGUUUCUAGGCCUUUUGGAGAGUUCGGAUUGAAGCAACGUUUGCCUUAGCUAAUACAACAUCUAAGGUAUUGUUAUUAUUCUCACCUUUAUUUAUUAAAUAUAUUGAGCACAUGGUAGGUCCACCAAAAUGUAUGCAAAAUCUAUUCACCAGAGGUAUUCGCAUAAAGUGAAUUUUUGUGAGAGACUAUUCUUCAACUGUGAAAACUACUUUGGUAGUUCUCAAACCCAUUACAAUUGAUUGGUGCUUGUGUUUUUCUAUUAGAAAGAUAUCUUCUGUAAAAUCUUUGUGAACUACAUUUUUGGAAAUGCAAAUGCUUUGUGUGGUGGUGAUUGUGCUUAUUUGCUUGGUCUUCUAGCAUUUCAGUGAAAUGAUUUAUUUUGACUUGUGCUUAUGACUAACUUGUUGACAGAGAAACUAGGCCAUUUAUGGAUGCACUGAUAUGAAUCCUAUAAUUUUUCUCUUAAUUGACAUGUUGAACUUUUUGGAAGAUAUUUUUUUUUUAUUUGAUUUGUCACAUAUUGUGCUUUAUUAGUUGGAAAUGUUUUGGUUUGUGGACCAUGUUGCACUUACCAGUUCUCAAUAUUGAUAUAUGAUAUAUACACACUAUUGUACUGGAAAUUGAUUGAGUUGGUUUGCUCCAUCUGGUGAAAUUUUAUAAAAGUCGAAGGUUUGAUGAGAAUAUUGGACUCCCCAAGUGAGAAUCUAUCUAAGUUUGAAAUUGUUCUGAUAUCGUUGCUGCAGCACUUUGUUAACGUUUUUGUUUUCUGCUGAUCAUUCCAGGCCAAAUGAUAUCCGUGAUUUUUCAGAGUAUUUGUUCUUGAGGUAAUGCCUUGAGGUAAGGUAUGUAAUGAGUUGUGUGAAGUGGGAUGUGAUAAUAAUUUUGCCCUCGCUUCAUGUGAUGAAAUCCCACAUAAUUUGCCCUUGCUUUAUGUGAUGAAAUCUUUGGGUGGUUUGUUUAUUUAGUGUUUUUCUAUUUCUUUUUAUAUGCUAAUUUUCAUAGUUCUAGAGCAAGUCUUUCUCUAGUCAUUUUGAAAUACUUCCACAUGCUGCUUCUUAAGCCAAGAUUGUCUUGCCCUAAUGAACAAGUUAAAUGGAUUUGCGUUGCUUGGAGUCUCAGUGUAAUAUAUGUGUUUUAGAACUUAGAUUGAUAAACAAAUUUGAACAAAUACAGUGGAAUAAGAAUAAAGAGAAGAUUAAAAAAAAAAGAGUAGAAAUAAAGAAAAGGAUGGUGAAACUUUAGGAGAAUAGGGGAAUCAAGAGAAGAGGAUAGAAUUUUGAUGGAUUUUAUUUAAUUAUGUAACGGAGGUUUUGUGUUGUUAGAUGUUGUGCGUUAAUUAAUUUGUAAUCUUGGAAAAAUACUUUAUCAUGAAUUGGGUUAAUUGUAAGUGGUCAAUACACUAAUAUAUAUUCUUCUAGCACUCAUCUAAAUGUAAUAUGUGUUUCAGGUGAUGUUGGUGGCUCUUGGGAAUUUACUAUCAGUGUUCUUUUUACGAAUUAAUUGUUUUUCUAAUGAUGGGGUAGUGAUUGAAUAUUGUAGAGAAUUUAUGAGUUAUUCUUACGGAUUUGAUUCACCAUGUAUUUUGAUGAUACUAUUUGUUGGAAGUUUCAAGUAAUUGAAAUUUUUAGUAUAUGGUGAUAUUUGGUAUUUGAUAGUUUUUAUGAAUUUGAAUGUAAUUUUUAUUUCAGUUAAUUCAAAUUUUAAAAUGUGGGUUUUGUUAUUUCUAUUUCAAAAUUCUGGAAUUUAAAUAAUAUUAAUUAGUAUUAUUAUAAUUUCAAAAUUAAAAAUAAUAAUUUUAUUUUUUUAAACCUUAAAUCUCAUGACAGAGAAUGUGAAUCAUUAAUAUAUGAAAGAUUUUGAAAAAGCCCACCAAAUUCAAUAUAAUUUAAAUUACCUGCUAAAAUUUCCAAUUAAUUCUCAAAAGCCUUGCAAAACGACGUCGCUUGGUUCGUGACAUAUGCGUGAUAGAUAUACACUGUCACAGAAACAUGUGAUAGAUAAAAUGUUGUCAUAGAUUUAUGAAAGGGGCUACAAUGACAGAUGGAAACUCUGUCAUAAGAGGGGUCGGAUGACAGAUAUUCUCUGUCAUGAUAGCCCAUUUUUCUAGUAGUGCUCAUUUUCCUUGCCAAUAUACAUUUCCAAAACUUUACAUAAUUUGGCAUUUGUUCCAAUGCUUCCACAAAAGGAAUGUUGAUAUGCAGUUGUUUCAAUACUUCCACCACCUGUCCCCAAGUUCCCACCACCACCUCACCCUUGCGUCUAUGCAUCUCCCCCUCCUCCUUACUACUACUAGAAAGCGGCCAUGAAUAGCUCAUGCUUUUAUGGUAAUCUCAUUUAUUUUUAAAACUGUACAUGUAAAGACUAGUAGUUCAGAAUUACAUUAAGCAUCAAAUUUAAGCACCGUGUUCUAUUUAAUUGCGUUCCUAUUGAUUAAGUGACAAAUAAAAGAGAUUGAUUAAUUUGUUCUUGUAGGAGAGGCGAAUGGUAUCCGAAUAAAGAAAGCAAGGGUUUGAUGGAAGGCUUACUUGGAGCAAGAUAGCGAUCAAUCGAGUUGCUGCGUUUUAUUCUCUUUUAUCUUUGUUUUUUAAGAAAAAUAAACUGCCACACGUAGAAACAGAAAAGUUCUUGUCAUUUUCAUGCAUAUGGAUUGUUGCUGUGUGUUUCAAUCAAUUCUCUGGCGUGUCAUUUGUAAUUUUCAACCUUCAUGCAUGCAAAUGCGAGACCUCUUUCGUAUAAUAAAAUUAGGGGAUUGUCACUUUCCCCCUACAGUAAUUAACAUAUAUUAUUUAUUCUCUUACUAUUUUUAUAAUGGCCAAAAACCCACUGACAACAUAAGUUUACAAUAUUACCUUUAUUUUUAACUACUCUUUUAUUUACAUUUAUUAUAAAUUAAAUAAAUUACAUGAAUAGAAACUAAAUAAAAAAAUUAAGUAUUAAAAAUAAGAAAUAUAUGUUGAUAUGAGGAAAAAAAUUAAUAAUAAAAUUUUUUUCUUGUAAUUAUUUAUUUUGUGAACAUUUUCUUAUAACAUUUUGUAAUAUUUUAAAAUUAAAUGUAAAAAGUAUAGGCAAAAUAUUUUAUUAUUUAUCUUAUAAUAAAUUGUUAUUUGUCAUUCAAAUUUUCUUAUAAUAAUUUUUUUUAUCAUUUUAUAAUAACUUUCUUAUAUAUUUAUUAUAAGAAAAUUUUCACAAAAUAAAUAAGUACAAGAAAAAAAAUUUAUUAUUAAUUUUUUUCUCAUAUCAAAACAUAUAAUAAUUUUUUUCUCAUAUCAAAACAUAUAUUUCUUGUUUUUAAUUCCUAAUUUUUUAUUUGAUUUCUAUUCAUGUGAUUUAUUUAAUUUGUAAUAAAUAUAAAUAAAAGAGUAAUUGAAAAUAAAGGUAAUGUUGUACACUUAUGCUAUCAGGGGAAGUUUUGGCCAUUAUAAAAAUAGUAUGGGAAAAAUAGUAUAUGUUGAUUACUAUAGGAGGGAAAUUAGCAAUCUCCCAAUAAAAUUAAUAUACUUCCCAAGACCGUCUUAUCUUGCGUUGACUUUUUACGUUCCUUUGGUGAUGAUUUUGACGUUUGAAAUUGAUGACUAUUGUUUUUGUAAACUCUGCAUGGAUUUUUCGUGCAACUACAGAGCGCAUUAACGAGAGACUUAUUCAUGAGGGUCCAUGCAGAUCAGUGUCUAAUUAACGAAUAAUUAAUAUAACUUAAAAAAUAUAUAGUUAACAAUUUUUAUGGGUCAUGCUCAAUUGCAGAUGUUCGUACAAAAUUUCUUGCUAAUGUAUACUUGAGUAUGAUAAUAAGUUUUAAUCAUUAUUAAUAAUUCACUUGAUAAUAUUAAACAAAUUUUCAUAUCAAUUAAGUUACAAAAUUUCUAUGACAAAUUUCCACGUACUGGAACCAUGCAAAAGGGCUUUAUUCAAACAAAGCUGCAUAGCCGUUGGCAAUUAAAAUAAUUUAUCAAUUAAGUUAAGUAGUAAGAAUUUUAUUGUGGAUUCGAUUAAUUAUUUCAAGGAAAAUUCUAUCGAUAAUGCCGUAACGAAAAUUACACAUAAAAUUAGUAAAUGUAAAGUAAAACCAGUAAAUUCAUAAAAAAUUAUUAAUUAUUUAAAAAAUUAAUAUUGUUUUUACAUAAUUUUAGUGCAAAAUAUUUUAUUUAGUUACAAAAAAAAUUUCUUUAAUUAAACAAAAAAAUUAUACAGAAAAAAAGUGGAAUACGUUUUAUUGAAUUGGUUACCAUAAAUUCUGUAAUUAUUCUAGGACAUUUGUAUACAUUUUUUUCUCAUUUUCUAUAAUGACAUCUAUUUAUUACACAUGUUAAUUAAGCGCAAUUAUUUAUCUUGAUGUGGAUCAAGUAAAAAUAAAAGAAAAGAUAUAUCAAUCAAAUUAGAUAUAAUUUUGAAUACUAUGUAUACUUUAUGUAGUUUCAAACUUUUUACUUGUAUUUGGAGACCAUUUAAGAUUGUUGUUGAAGAAGUGUAGAAAGAUGUAAAAUAACGUCAUCUUACAACAAUUAUAAUGAUAUCUAUUUAUUACACAUGUUAAUUAAGCACAAUUAUUUAUCUUGAUGUGGAUCAAGUAAAAAUAAAAGAAAAGAUAUAUCAAUAAAAUUAGAUCUAAUUUUGAAUAGGGAGAUUGCCAAUUUUCCCCCUACAGUAAUCAACAUAUACCAUUUUCCCCCCUACUGUUUUUAUAAUGGCCAAAAACCCCCCUGAUAGCAUAAGUGUAUAUUAUUACUCUUAUUUUCAACUACUCUUUUAUUUAUAUUUGUUAUAAAUUAAAUAAAUCACAUGAAUAGAAACCAAAUAAAAAAUUAAGCAUUAAAAACAAGAAAUAUAUGUUUUGAUAUGAGAAAAAAAUUAAUAAUAAUUUUUUUCUUGUACUUAUUUAUUUUGUGAAAAUUUUCUUAUAAUAAAUAUAUAAGAAAGUUAUUAUAAAACGAUAAAACCAAUUAUUAUAAGAAAAUUUGAAUGACAAAUAAAAAUUUAUUAUAAUAUAAAUAAUAAAAUAUUUUGUCUAUACUUUUUACAUUUAAUUUUAAAAUAUUACAAAAUGUUUAUUAUAAGAAAAUGUUCACAAAAUAAAUAAUUACAAGAAAAAAAUUUUAUUAUUAAUUUUUUUUGCUCAUAUCAAAUCAUAUAGUUCUUAUUUUUAAUACUUAAUUUUUUUAUUUAUUUUCUAUUCAUGUAAUUUAUUUAAUUUAUAAUAAAUAUAAAUAAAAGAGUAGUUAAAAAUAAGGGUAAUAUUGUAAACUUACACUGUCAGGGGGUUUUUGGCCAUUAGAAAACAACAAGGGGGUAAAUGGUAUAUGUUAAUUACUGUAGAGGGGAAAGUGACAAUCCCCCUUUUGAAUAUUAUGUAUACCUUAUGUAGUUUCAAACUUUUUACUUGUAUUUGGAGACCAUUUAAAGUUGUUGUUGAAGAAGUGUAGAAAGAUGAAAAAUAACUUCAUCUUACAACAACUGUGAAAGAUAUUAAAAUAAUAUUUUUUCAAAAUCCAAUUUUUAGCAUAAAUUUCAUCCUUAAUUAAACAUCACAUGUAUUAUAUAAAUGAAAAACUAACAUUAUUCAAUUUAAAUUAAAAAAUAAUAAAUAUAUGAGGUAAUAAAUAUUAUAACGAGUUUUUAUUUUAAAAUUGUAAACUUUUGUUUCUGACAGUAACUCUUAUAUUAAUUUACUUAUUUUGCCUUUUAUUCAUAAGUUUUAUGCAUAAUCUACAAACUUUAUGUUUUAUUUUGCAUUUAAUGUUGAUUUACCUUUUUUAUAUUAUAUUUAUAAGUUUUCAUUUGAUUUACCAGUAAUACAUCAAUUUAUCAAUUUUAUAGUAAUUUACUUAUUUUACCUUCUUUUUACAAUUCUUAUGUUUCAUUUUCAAAAUUUAUGUUUUAUUUUACAGUUAUUGAUGAUUUACUAGUUUUAUAUUAUGUUUGCAAGUUUUUGUUUUAUUUACUAGUAAUAAAUUAAUGGGUAAUUUUUAAUUUAGUCCUCAUGUUUUCGAGAAAAAAAUUCAGAGACUAGAAAUUUACUAAAUGAAUCAAUUAAAUUAUUUCAAGCACAAACUAAUGUCAAUCAAGUCCUUAACUUAAUUGCUUAGUUAAAAAUAUUAACAACAUUGAGGAUAUUUUAGUAAAACAACAAUUGAGCCCUUCCUCAUUCUUUAUUUUUGACAUGUGGCAAUAGUUUAAAGUAAAUUCAAUUAACCUAAUUAAGUUAAGGAUCAGUUCUUGCAAACGAAAAAAAAAAAAAAACCUACAAAAACUGCCAUAAUCUUCGUGUGAGAGGAGAGAUCGAGAGAAUGUGGGAUGGUGCCAAAAAUGUUGUAUAAAUCUACUAUGAUUUUGACCAAAGCUUUGUUAGCAUUUGUUGAGUUCAAGUACUGGAGAGAACCUAAUUAUAAAGGUCAGUAACUCUAUUUUUUUAGUGAUUUUUGCAAGCGUUUUUUGAUAAAAUUGUUUCCAUAUUUAGUGAUCGUUGUGAAAAAUUAGGUUUUUCAAGUCUAUUUUUCUAAAUGACAAACUAUGUUUAAUUACUGGUGGUUUUUUUUUUAUUGAAUGUGGUAUUUUGUUAAUACAUUGUUUUUAAUUUGCUCUUCAUGUAAUUAUUAGACCAAAUACGCCAUAAUUAUAUUUGUAUUCAUUUCAACCAAUUGGUAUUGUUAUAUUAAUAAGAUUGAAUUCAUUGUAUUUGCUUCUUUGUUCAUGCAAAAAUUGAAUUCUAUGUGUUCUUAUGAGUGGUAAUUUUUCUAUAUAUUAGAAUAAAUUCACAAUAGUUGCUAAUUUCUUUCUUUUUGCUGGGUUAUUUUUUCUUUUUAGUUUUUAUUUUUUAUAUGUAUUAGAUUGAAUUUGCUUUUGUACUUUUUUUAGCCGAAUUACAUGUAUAUUUCAUUUAGGUUAAGUUUUUUUGUUCUUUGCUAAAUAAAAUUGUAUUGGUUUAUCCUUUUUUGUUGCAAUACUUUUUGUUUUAAAUUGAUGCAAGUAGCCAUGUUACCUUUUGUUUUUCAGUUAAAAUUAAUGGGGUGGUGUAUGAGAUAGGAUAUAGAGAACCAGAGGAAUAUAAGAUUAUUAGGUUGUUUCAUGAAAUUCAAGAAUUCAUGGUUAAGCAUGGACAUAAUGAAAUGGAUAUGAUUGAAAUUUCUAUUGUAUUGCCAUGGACUACAAGUAGGCAGAAAAAGCUAAUUUCAAACGAUAGUGAAUUGUAUUGGGUUUUUUAGGAGUUUUUUUUUUUAUCAAUAGUUGUCAUGUCAUUGAGUUUGAGGUGCACACUGGGUCAGGUGGUCAGUCAUGUCAUGAAAAUGUUGUAAUAGGAUCUGAAAAUCUUAUCAAUAUAGCGGUUGGGUGGGUAGUGAUAAGUUUGAAAAAUUUAGUGAGGAUGGCUUUAUCGGAGGGCUCUCAUCUAAUGAAGAGAAUGGUCUCUCACAUAUGUAUAAAUCCAUUGUUGAUAAUGAGUAGAAACCAAAUCCAAAUAGUUUAAUUAGUCUAAAAGUAGGAAAUACAUUUGAAUCUGUUGCAUUAUUAAGAGAGGUUAUAAUGAAGUAUGCAAUCGAAGAGGGUUUUUAGUUGAAUAGGAUUAAAAAUGAUGGUGUUAGGUAUUAUGUCAAUCUAAAAUGCACUUGGAAACUUAAUGCUUCAUCGAUGGUUGACGGGAUAACUUUUAAAAUUAGGUAUAUUAAAGGGAAACAUGAUUGUCAGAUUAAAUAAGUUAACAAAGAUGCAACAGCACAUUGGAUGAUGUACAUGUCAUAAUGAGAGAGCUAAAAGAUAAACAUAGGAUUGAAUGUGAUAAACAAGAACUAUGCAGGGCAAAAGAAAUUGCACUAAAAAACCUAGGUCUUGACCAUGUUGCUUGCUAUGGAAAGCUUUUGAAAUAUGCUCACAUUCUAAUGAAAAUGAGUAGAGGUGCUUGUGUCAAGCUAAAGUUGAUAGGCCAUUGUCAAAUAGCCUAGUUUUUCAAAGGUUUUUUUAUCAUUUCCCGCACUUAAAGUGGGGUACCUAACUGGGUGUAGACCUUUCAUAAGAUUGGAUGGGUGUCACUUGAAUGGGCCAUAUAGGGGAGUAUUGUUAUCUGUUGUUGCAUUAGAUGCUGACAGUAGAAUUUUGCCACUGGCUUUUUGCAUAUGUGAGGCAGAAAACUAUGAUAGUUGGGGUUAUUUUUUUUAUCUUUUUUGUAUGAAUUCAUUGGGGCCGAUGAUCAUAGACCUGUGACUAUUAUUAGUUAUAGACAAAAAGGUCUUUUAUGGCGACUAAAAAAAUAUUAGCCUAAUGCUAGCACUAGAUAUUGUGCUAGGCAUAUCUUUGCCAAUUGGAAGUGCAGGUUUCCUGGUUUGAAUGUGAUGGGGUUAUUCUGGAAAGCUUGUAGGGCUGCAAAUCAAUAUGACUUUGAGAGGGCAAUGAGUUAAAUUAGGGCUAAAGACCAAAAUUGUUGUUGCUUAAAGAUUGUGGGAAUAUGAGAUAUUUCCUUGGAAACCAGCAUUGGCUCUAAGUUAUUGCUUAAAGAUGUCAAACAUGUACCAUAUAUUCUUCUUAAUUUGAUCUCUACAGGCAAGCUUGAUGAUGAUGGUUAUACCAACUAAUUUGGUGAAGGAGUAUGUAAGCUCACCAAAGGCUCCUUAGUGUUAGUUAAAGAGAGGAAAGUAAACACCCUCUAUGUGUGAUAACUCUAUGAAACGAGAGUUAUUAUAGAAAUUCUAAACUUAAAUCAAUAUUACUUACAGAGUAAAUGAUGUGUUUCUAUUGUAUUUUUGUUACAUUGUGUAUAAACAUUCAUUUUAGUUUAGUCUUAAUAAAUUUUGCUUAAUUUAGAAUAAUUCGUGCUUAAAUUGUGUGCAUAAUUAUAGGUGUCUAGAAGCUCAUAUCUCAUGGAAGGAGUGUUGAUGCAAUAGGCUUGUAAAAAUGAGGAAGAACAUGGCUACAAAAGAAUUGAAACAAAUCUGGAAUAAUGUAGUGUUGUAGCCGUUCUUGUAGCAACCAUUGCUGUAGCAAUCCUGGAACAACGAUAGAGAAAAUUUAGCACGAGAUACUUGUAGAAUCAAGAUCUGCAAUUUCUUAAUUUGACUUAUGCGCGCCCUGGGCUUCUGUUUACCCUAGUUUUCAGUUAUAAAAAGAGCACGCAUCAUAUGGUAAAAGGGGCGGUGAAUUAACAGCAAAGAAAUCAAGAGGAAAAGAAUGAAAAAUCAGAAUUCAAGGGAGAACAAGUCUGCACCAGUGAAGAUAUUGGCAUAACUAUUUGGAUUCAAUUUUCAUCGUUCUUUACUUAUCCCUUUUCUUACUCUUUGAUUGAACCGAUGGAUUUCAUCGCUGAUACUUUGUUGUUUGUUUUUCUUUUCCAAAGUAUGAACUAAAUUUGAUUGUAAUUGAGUGACAAACAAUCUCAAUGGGUUCUUGACUGUUCUUAUGAGUUAUUAAAAGAUUGCUGUAGCAUUUUGCUGUAAUAGCUUAUAUUAGAAUUAUUAUUUCGGUUGACCUCCCAUUUAAUGGUUCAAGUUAAGAGAGAGCCACAAAAUGGCAUGUCUUAGUGGAAAUUAUUAGAGUAAUACUUGAUCUUAAUUUAAGUUUUCUGGAUUGAGUUUAACUUGAGCCCCAAAAGAGCCACACUUGAGUUAAGAUUUGUGAAGAACUAGAUAUAGGGAUUCACCUUAUAGGGUAGAGGGGGUGUAUGUUCAUAAUGCCAUACCUUAGGUGAAAUGACAACUGGUCAUUGUUAGAGUGCUUAAGGGUAUGAGAAGUCCAACAAGCGACAGCUGAGGAUGCAAAAUAAUUUUGCACUGUGCUGUUGGAAUUGCUGUAAUAACUGGUGUUUAUUUGAACAGAACAGUCAGCCCAUGAAUAGAGUUUGAUCAUUCAGCUACCUCAUUCUCAUUAAAUUCUUCUUUACGCAAUUCAUCUAAUUUACUUUAUUACUGCAUUUAUUUUAUUAAAAUUGUUAAUUUCGGUAGUAAUAAACUUUAAUUAGAUUUCUCUUUAGAUAAAAGAAAUUUGCACUGUCGUGAUUGCUAUAGCAUUUCUAGUAAUAUCAGUUCAUGUGGAGACGAUCUUGAAUAUUCAUCAUUUUAUUACUUGUUGUGUACACUUGCACAUGAUAUCAAUAGCAAUUGAGUUAAAUUAAAUAACAAGUUUUUGGCGCCGUUGCCGGAGAUUGAUUGUUUAUUUUUGAAGUGUGAAGUCAAUCUUGACAAAUGCCAACUUGAUCUAAUUCAUUCUAUUUAUUGACAGAUCAUGACUUGCAUGGGCAAAGGCAGAUCUGUUGAAUUUCAAUUUGAUCCUGAGAUUGAAAGGACUGUAAGGAGAUUGCGAAGAGAGUGAAGAAAUUCAAAAACUGUUUCAAAAAUGGAUAACUUGCAAGAUGUGGGAAACUUGGAUCCUCACGGGCCACUACAACCUGUCAAUGUUCAAGAGGGGCAAAUGGGCACGUUAAUCAAAGACAACCAAGCAACAACAAUAUCAUUUACAUGGAAGACGAUAGAGAUAGGGUUAUCAGAGAUUAUGUUGUGUUAACUCCUUAAGUUGUACAUCUUGGAAUAGUCAGACCUGAAGUGGAAGCCGCCAACUUUGAACUUAAACCGGUAAUGUUUCAAAUGCUACAAAUAGUGGGUCAAUUUAAUGGACUGUCAUCUGAAGAUCCUCAUCUCCAUCUUAAGUUUUUUUUGGAAGUAAGUAAUGCUUUUAAAACUGCUGGAACAACGCAUAAUGCUUUGAGACUGAGGCUUUUUCCUUACUCCUUAAGAGAUCGAGCAAGAGCAUGGUUGAAUUCCUUACCAUCUGAUUCCAUCACUACAUGGAAUGACUUGGCUGACAAAUUCUUAAUGAAAUAUUUUCCACCAACCAAGAAUGAAAAAUUGCAAAAUGAGAUCACCUCUUUUCAUCAACUUGAAGAUGAGAGCUUGUUUGAGGCUUGGGAGAGAUUUAAAGAGUUUCUCAGAAGAUGUCCUCAUCAUGGCAUUCCCUGUUGCAUACAGCUAGAAACCUUUUACAAUGGGUUGAAUCCAAGUACAAGAUUGAUUGUCGAUGCUUCAGCAAAUGGAGCCCUAUUAUCCAAAUCUUACACUGAAGCUUAUGAAAUUUUGGAGAGAAUUCCUAACAAUAACUACCAGUGGCCAUCAACUGAAAAACUGUAGCAAGAGAAGCAGCAGGGGUACAUAACAUAGAUGCAAUUACAGCACUGUCAGCUCAAGUAACAUCAUUGACUAACAUGGUAAAAGCCAUGACUUCUACUUCUACAGUAGUAAAGCAAGUUGCUGAACUAUCUUGUGUGUAUUGUGGUGAGGAGCAUGUAUUUGACAAACUGUCUAGGAAAUCCAGCAUCAGUAAACUAUGUGGGAAACUUCAACCGACAGCCCUAGAACAACCCAUAUUCAAGUACUUACAACCCUGGAUGGAAUCAACACCCAAAUUUCUCAUGGAGCAAUCAAAAUCAGCAUGCUUCAGCACCUAGUGGACAGAACAAACAUGCUCAUCCACUUGGUUUUCAUCAGCAAAAUUAAGAGCAAAAACACACUAGCCAUGAUCAAAUCACCUCAUUGGAAACACUUUUUAAGGAAUGUAUCGUAAAGAAUGAAGCAAUUGUGCAAAAUCAAGCUGUAUCUCUGAGAAACCUGAAAAACCAAAUUGGACAGUUUGCCACAGCAAUGAGUAGUAGAUCUUAGGGAAGUUUACCCAGCAAAACAGAAGAUCCAAGAAGAGAGGUAAAAAACAUUGUAAAGUAAUCAACUUAAGAUAUGGGAAGAAUGUUGAUAUUGCUGUUGAUGUGACUAAAAAGAGGUUGGAACUUAACUCCUCACAAGAACCACCUCAAGAUGAAAUGAUGUUACAGCAACCCAGCCACUAAGAUACUGGCACUAGUGGUCAAGCUACAGCAACCUUGGAAGAAAAUCACCCAAUACCUAUUGAAGAAGAUGUUGCAACACCAGUGGUGACAAAUUACAAUAAAUCAAAUGAGCAGAUAUUGGUACCUCUUGAAGUUGUACAACAAUUUAGGCAUCCACCUCCUUUCCCACAGAGAUUCCAGAAACAAAAACAAGACUAAUAGUUUAGCAAAUUCCUGAAAGUGCUGAAACAGUUACACAUCAACAUACCUUUUGUGGAAGCAUUAGAGCAAAUGCCUAAUUAUGUGAAAUUUCUAAAAGAUAUUUUAACAAGAAAAAGAAGGUUGGGAGAAUUUGAAACUGUUGCUUUAACACAGGAAUGCAGUCACAUGUUUCAGAGUAAGAUUCCUAAAAAAUUAAAGGAUCCAGGAAGCUUCACAAUAUCAUGUUCAAUUGGAACUAAGUACAAUGGCAGAGCACUCUGUGACUUGGAGCCAGCAUUAAUCUAAUGUCAUUAUCUCUAUUUAAGCAAUUAGGAGUAGACUUUGAGUCUGAUAAAGAGGUACCAAUUAUAUUUGGAAGACCUUUCCUGGCAACCAGGAAGACUCUGAUAGAUGUUCAGAAAUGAGAGCUAACCAUGAGGGUGAAUGACCAACAAGUCACCUUCAAUGUAUUAGAAGCUAUGAAGAGUCCUGAUGAGGCAGAAGAUUAUAAUUUUUUUAGUGUUGUGGACCUUGUUGUGGCAGACAGAAUAAAUAGAUGCUGCAGUAAAAAGGUUAUCAAAGCUGCCACCUUUGAAAGCUUUGAAGAAGAAAAUGUUACAGCAAACCAGAUAGAUUGGAUGGUAGAAAGGCAAUCUAAAAGACAUAGCAGAUUUAUCGAACCUCUAAAUCUUUCAAACAGGGACAUAAAGACAACUUUACCAUCUAUUGAAUCAACUCCUACUCUUGAAUUAAAAUUGUUACCUUCACAUUUGAAAUAUUCAUAUCUUGGUGAGAACAAUACACUUCCGGUAAUCAUUUCAUAUUCUUUAGAUGCAGAUCAAGAAAGAAGUCUGGUAUAUGUGCUUAGGAAAUAAAGAAAAACAAUUGGAUGGACUAUGACAGACAUUAAACGGAUCAGCCCAUCCAUAUGCAUACAUAAAAUUCUGUUAGAAGACUGCUAUAGCAAUUCAGUAGAGCAACAGAGAAGGCUAAACCCCAUUAUGAAGGAAGUUGUAAAGAAAUAAAUCAUCAAAUGGCUGGAUGUUGGGAUCAUAUACCUGAUAUCAGACAGUUCAUGGGUGAGCCCAGUACAAUGUGUUCCAAAGAAAUAAGGAAUAACAGUAAUAGAAAAUGAAAAGAAUGAACUUAUUCCUACAAGAACAAUGACUGGAUGAAGGGUAUGUAUGGAUUAUAAGAAGCUCGACAAAGCCACACGGAAGGAUCACUUCUACUUUCAUUUAUAGAUCAAAUGUUAGACAGAUUUGCUGGAAAAUAAUAUUAUUGUUUCCUAAAUGGGUAUUUAGGUUACAACCAAAUUGUUAUACCCCCAGAAGAUCAGGAAAAGACUACAUUCACCUGUCCUUAUGGAACUUUUGCCUUUAAAAGAAUGCCCUUUGGUCUGUGUAAUGCUCCAGCAACUUUCCAGAGAUGUAUGAUGUCUAUUUUCUCAGAUAUGGUGGAGCAAACAUUGGAAGCCUUCAUGGAUGAUUUCUCAGUUUUUGGAGAAACAUACACUGAUUGUUUACAUAACUUGGAAGAAGCUCUUAAAAAAUGUGAGAUGACUAACUUAGUACUCAAUUGGGAAAAAUGCCACUUCAUGGUGCAAGAAGGCAUAAUGUUGGGUCAUAGAGUGUCCAAGAAUGGCAUAGAGGUAGAUAAAGCAAAAAUAGAAGUGAUAGAUAAACUGCCACCUCCCACUUCAGUCAAGGGUAUUAUAAGUUUUUUGGGACAUGUUGAAUUCUACAGAAGAUUCAUAAAAGACUUCUCCAAAGUAGCUAAACCAUUAUGCUCACUACUAGAACAUGACAAGCCUUUUCAUUUUGAUAAAGACUGUCUUUAAGCUUUUAAAGAAUUGAAGAAAAUUUUGAUCAUUGCACCAAUGGUUAUAACACUAGAUUUGACUCUAUCUUUUGAGCUGAUGUGUGAUGCCAGUGACCACUCUGUUGGGGCAGUGCUGGGGCAGAGAAAGAAUAAGAUUUUCCACUCUAUAUACUAUGCCAGUAAAACUCUUGUUCAAGCUCAGAUUAAUUACACCACUACAGAAAAAGAGCUGCUAGUAGUAGUAUUUGAUUUCAAUAAGUUUAAAGCUUACUUGGUGGGUACUAAAGUGACAAUCUACACAGAUCAUGCAGCCAUCAAGCACUUAAUCUCAAAGAGAGAUGCCAAACCAAGAUUAAUAAGAUGGGUAUUAUUGCUUCAAGAGUUUGAUUUGGAAAUUAAGGAUAGAAAGGGGACUGAAAAUCAAGUAGCAAACCAUCUAUCGAGGCUGAAAGCAAAUACGAGCACAUUGACUAAACAAGACAUCACUGAAACAUUUCCUGAUGAACAACUGUUAGUGCUAUAACAUGCACAGAUGCUACAGCAACCGAGAUCUCCAUGGUAUGGAGAUUUUGCUAACUACUUAGUAAGUGGAUUGCUACCACCUGGGUUGAAUUUUCAGUAGAAAAAGAAAUUUCAUUUUCAGUAGAAAAAGAAAUUUCAUUUUCAGUAGAAAAAAAAUUUUCAUUUUCAGUAGAAAAAAAAUUUUCAUUUUCAGUAGAAAAAGAAAUUUUCAUUUUCAGUAGAAAAAGAAAUUUUUUCAUGAUGUUAAAAGCUACCAGUGGGAUGAUCCAUACUUGUAUAAGUUAUGCUUAGAUCAGGUAAUCCGAAGAUGUGUUUCAGAGGAAGCAAUUUCACAUAUACUGCAAUAUGGCCAUGCUGCAGCAUAUGAAGGACAUUUUGGUGGACAAAGAACAACUGCUAAAGUUCUACAAUCAGGUUAUUACUGGCUUUCUAUUUUUAAGGAUACUUAUGAGUUUGCUAAACGUUGUGACAGAUGCCAAAAGACAGGAAACAUAACUCAAAGACAUGAAAUGUCAUUAACAAACAUUCUGGAAGUGGAGAUUUUUUAUGUAUAGGGAAUAGACUUCAUGGGCCUUUUCCCACCAUCCUUUGAGAAUUUUUAUAUCCUGGUUGCUGUGGAUUAUGUCUCCAAGUGGGUAGAAGCUGCAGCAUUACCUAUCAACGAUGCAAGAGCAAUAGUGAAUUUUCUUCAGAAAAAUAUUUUUUCCAGGUUUGGCACUCCACGAGCAAUUAUUAGUGAUGAGGGUACUCAUUUCUGCAACAAAGCAUUUGCUGCAGCAAUGGCCAAAUAUAGAGUCAAACACAAAAUUGCGACAGCAUAUCACCCACAAUCCAAUGGCCAGGCAAAAGUAUCUAAUAGGGAAAUUAAGAAGAUUCUAGAAAAGGUAGUGAAUCCUUCAAGAAAGGAUUGGUCAUUGCGAUUACAUAAAUCUUUAUAGGCUUUCAGAACAGCAUAGAAGACACCACUUGGCAUGUCUCCCUACCAAAUUGUGUAUGGAGCACAAAGCAUAUUGGGCACUGAAGCAAUUAAAUUAGGAUAUACAUGCUGCAACAGAGCAGAGGAAACUUCAACUAUGUGAACUUGAUGAAUUACGGUUAUUCUCAUAUGAAAAUGCAAGAAUCUAUAAGGAGAGAACAAAACAAUGGCAUGACAAGCACAUCCAAUAAAGAAAAUUAAUCCCUGGUCAACUAGUUCUGCUCCAUAAUACUAGGUUAAGACUAUUUCCAGGAAAGCUGAAAUCUAGAUGGUCUGGACUUUUCAAGCUGCUCAGAAUUUACCCUCAUGGGGCUGUUGAACUCUUAGAUGGAAAGACAGGCCAAGAAUUCAAAGUUAAUGGGCACAGAGUUAAGCAUUACAUGCAUUCAGUUACAGAUUGUUCAAAUGAGGUCGUACUCCUUAGUAAACCGGCAUUGUGAGCAUUCAAGAAAGGUCACGUUGAAGGACCUUAAAUCAAACAUUGAAUGGGAGGCAACCCAUUGCUGAGGCAGUCAUUUCAAAUGAAGUGGAUCCUCCAUGUUUUUGUUGUAGUAUUUAUUUAUUUAUUAUUUUUCUUAGUUAGGAUUGUUUAAUUUUUAUCUUUUAUUGUUUUAUUUUAAAAAAAAACGAAACAUGCCAAGUCACGCAAUUCUUAGAGUUGGAUUCAAUACUGACAAUUGGUGUUGUAAUAUUAACAGGUUACAAAGGCAAGUUACUUGACAGCAACCAUCUGAGGAGAUUGUUGUGCAGAUUGCUAGAGCAUACAUUUUGUUGCUGCAACAACCAAUUUUAUUAUUACAGUAACUUAACUACGGAGCCUCACAUUUUACCGUUGGAGAUAACAUGUGACAGCUAGUUGGGUGAACUCAGAUAAAGAUUGGGGAAGAAUGCAUAAUCUCUUAAAUAACUGCAUCAAUAUCUCUUUCCUAUUUUUAUGGGAUAUGCUUAAUAAAUUCAAAAAUUCUUCCCUAAUUUAUCUCUUUUACCAAAUUUAUUUUAUUUAUUUUGCACCUAUAUAAGAGUUUCAUUGUGCAUGUUGACCUCUAACACUAUUUUCUUUUCCCUUCACAGUCACAACCCCUCUAUUUUAUAACCUCUGCUCUUCGUUUCACUCUUGAACAUAUUACCACAGUUAUCCUACUACUGCAGUAAUGCCAAGGUAUAAAAGGACAGCCAGCCGACUAAACGAUCUAUCACAAUUUUAAAGUUACCAUGCGGAAGAGAAGUAUGAAGAAUUUAUUGAACCGCGCAAGAUUUUGGAAGAAAAAGGGCUUCAGUUCCCACCUCAACCCUCUAGAAUUGUGCAAUCAUUAUACGAUGCUGCAGCAAAGCACGGGUGGCUGGAGUUUUGUAACCACCCCCGAGAUCCUGUGUUGGAGCUAUUUGCAGCACUUGGAGGACCACCUACACCAAUUUGUUGUAUAUAUAAAAGUACCCAUAACAAUUUCCCUGAUUCACUGCUACAACAGUACAAUUUUGGUACCUCCAUUAUAGAAGUCAGUGAAGAUGUUGCUGACACAGAUAAACAUGAGGAAGAAACAGCAGCAGAACAGCAAGCAGAUGCUGAUAUAGAUGCUGAUAACCAGUCAGACCAGCAUGAAGAAUAAUGUGUCCAGUCUACAAUUGAUAGUUCCCCGACAGAGGAGGAGGAAAAGCAUGAGAAAGAACUCGAAGAACCCUCAGCCAGGACCUUUUCCAAGUCCAGGAAAAAGCACAUCAUACGAGAAAAGGAAGAUGAACCUGCAGAGGAGCCUCCCAUUCCAUUCCUCUCUCGAAAGGGCAAAGAGAAAGUAAUUACCCCUCCUGCAUCUGACGAUGAAGCCGAGCACAUUGAUGCAGAAUUGGAAGUUGCAGCAGCCAGGGUUACUCGUACACCCAUCGAGACAAAGCAUAUGCUUGAUAUCAUUGCCGCAAUCAUGACUGAGGGGUAUACAGUCGAAGACCCAACUCCAGCUCCCUCACGGCAAACCCCCAGCAAACCUAUUCUCGCUAGUCCUAAAGGACCCAGCAAAAGAAAGGGGGGCACUUCUGGAGGCAUUGCUGCAGUAGACACACCAGAGCCAAAGAGGACCAUAUCUGUUUUGUCCCAGCCAGCUGCACCCACUGCAACUCCUCCUACUAGCCCAUCGCAAAGAAAGAAAAAGUCAUUGCCAACUACCUCACCGCAAGAAUCUCCUAAAGACCGACUGCGGAGCGCCUCCAAAAAGCGGUGAAUUGGUUAUAAUUUAUUGCAGCAGUAUUUCUAGCACCAGGGGAGUACCACUACCCGCUAGUUUAUUUUACUUCUUCAUGCAACAACUUUUUCUUCAUUUAGUUUUAAUUUUCUGAUUUAUUUUGCAUGUCUUUUUAUUUAGUAUAUGCAUAUCUGGUUUAUAUGGUUUUGUUUUGUGUGCCUGUGAAGACACAACACCUUUCAAGUUUUGGGGGGUUGUGCUAUCAUAUAGUGUGUUAUUGAGUGCAUUGCAUGUGUUGUGGUGUUGUUUGUGAAGUGAAGCUCUGUAUCUACUGCUUAUGUAUGGAUUUGAAAGCCUAAUGAAGAUAAAUUGAGUGUUACUCAGUAUGUAUGAGAAUGCCCAGUAGGGAUAGUCAUAGAUGGAGAUUGAAAUUAUGUCCCGACACUUAGACUUUGGUUGAAAUUCAUGAGACUGCUGCAGCAAAAUCAAGAAAACUGCAAAGAGUAGAAAAUAUAUCAAGUUUAGGGGAAAUGUGUGUGUUGAGUUGUGCUUAUUAAAGUCUGUUCCAAUGGCUUAAAUGGUUGAGUAACUACGGCUGAGUAUGUACCCCAUAUGCAGACUUGAGUUAAAAAGCAACAAGAGUUAUGAGCAUUGUUGUAGCAAUUGAAAAAAAAAAGAAAAAAAAAAGAAGUCCUCUGUCUGAGAAAUUGAGUAGCCAUGUCUGUUAAUGAGCCCCAUGUUCAGCCUUGAGUUAAAGAUAUCUUUAGAUAAGACUAUGUUAUGACCAUUGCUAUAGCAACUCUGACAUGUACGUUGAGUAAGUAAUUGGGUGUCAUCAUUACAAGUGAUAGGCAUUCACAUGAAAGUUCAAUGUUGUAUUGAAGGGAGUGAAUAUAUAGAUAUAUAUAUAUAUAUAUAUAUUGUUUGUUGAAGCACAAUUUAUGUUUAUUUGUGAAUUAUGCUCUCCCAUAUAUGAAUAUAUUUGUGUUCUACCUUUGAAUUACAUGCAAUAUCUCUGUAAUGUUGUAGCAUCUCUGGACUUUGAUCAAAGUGGCACACACAUUUUGGACAGAAUGCAGCCUAAGUCUAGAACUGAACUGUUAUGGCUAUUUUGCAUGAUUAAGAGUGUGAUCUGAGGGUGGAAGAAUCCUUGCAACUUUGAUGAUAAAGCUGAGCUAUUUGUUGCAUGAUUGAGUGAUUGAAGUGUUAGCAUUGUUGUCAUUACUUAAAAACAAGUAAUGGUUUAAGUUUGGGGGUGUGAUAACUCUAUGAAAUGAGCGUUAUUAUGGUAAUGCUAGAAUUAAAUCAAUAUUUACUUAGAGAGUAAAUAAUGUGUUUCUAUUAUAUUUUUCUAUUGUAUUUAAUAAAUUUUACUUAGUUUAGAAUAAUUUGUGCUUAAAUUGUGUGCAUAAUUGUAGGUGUCCAGAAGCUCAUAUCUCAUGGAAGGAGUGCUGAUGCAAUAGGCUUGUAAAAAUGAGGAAGAACAUGGCUACAAAAGAAUUGAAACAAAUCUGGAACAAUGUAGUGUUGUAGCCGUUGCUGUAGCAACCAUUACUGUAGCAAUCCUGGAACAACGACAGAGAAAAUUUAGCGCGGGAUACUUGUAGAAUCGAGAUCUGCAGUUUUCUAAUCUGACUUAUGCGCGUCUUAGGCUUUUGUUUACCCUAAUUUUCAGUUAUAAAAAGAGCACGCAUCAUAUGGUAAAGGGGGCGGUGAAUUAACAUCGAAUAAAUAAAUCAAGAGGAAAAGAAGGAAAAAUCAGAAUUCAAGGGAGAGCAAGUUUGCACUAGUGAAGAGAUCGGCAGAACUAUUUGGAUUCAAUUUUCAUCAUUCUUUACUUGUCCCCUUUCUUACUCUUUGAUUGAACCGAUGUAUUUCAUGGCUGAUACUUUGUUGUUUGUUUUUCUUUUCCAAAGUAUGAACUAAAUUUGAUUGUAGUUGAGUGACAAAUAAUCGCAAUGGGUUUUUGACUAUUCUUAUGAGUUGCUGAAAAAUUGAUGUAGCAUUUUGCUCUAAUAGCUUAUAUUACAAUCAUUAUUUCGGUUGACUUCUCAUUUAAUGGUUAAAGUUAAAAGAAAGCCGUAAAAGGGCCUGUAUUAGUGGAAAUUAUUAGAGUAAUACUUGAUCUUAAUUUAAGUUUCCUAAAUUGAGUUUAACGUGAGUGCCAAAAUAGCCACACUUAAGUUAAGAUUUGUGAAGAACUAGAUAUAUGGAUUCAUCUUGUAGGGUAGAGGGGGUGUAUGUUCAUAAUGUCAUACCUUAGGUGAAAUAACAACUGGUCAUUGUUAGGGUGCUUAAGGGUAUGAGAAGUCCAACAAGAGACAGUUGAGGAUGCAAAAUAAUUAUGCCCAUGAAGAGAGUUUGAUCAUUCAGCUACCUCAUUCUCUUUAAAUUCUUCUUUACGCAAUUCAUCUAAUUUACUUUAUUACUGCAUUUAUUUUAUUAAAAUUGUUAAUUUCAGUAGUAAUCAACUUUAAUUAGAUUUCUCUUUAGAUAAAAGAAGUUUGCACUGUCGUGAUUGCUGUAGCAUUUCUAGUAACAUCAAUCCAUGUGGAGACGAUCUUGAAUAUUCAUCACUUUAUUACUUGUUGUGUACAUUUGCAUAUGACAUCAAUAACAAUUGAGUUAAAUUAACCAACAAUGUGUUAGAAGCCAAGAUUAAGAAAGAAGAUGUGAAUGUGGCUAUAAAAGAUUCUGACAUUGAGACAUGGUAUAAAAAGUUUGGUCACAUUGGUGAAAAAGGGUUAGAAACUCUUGCCAGAAAAAGAUUUCUACCCAGCUUCGUAGAUAUGUCCCUCAAGACUUUUGCUCAUUCCUUAGCUGGAAAGACACACAGAGUAGCUUUUAAAAGGUUUUCUCCAUCUAGAAAGUCGCAAAUCCUUGAUUUGAUUCACACUGAUUUUUGCAUGAUGUAAAGUAGAUCAAUUGGAGGUGCACUUUAUUUUGUUACUUUUAUUGAUGACUAUUCUACAAAGGUGUGGGCUUUUGCUUUGAAAUCUAAAGAUCAAGUGCUUGAUAUAUUUAAGUUCUUCCAUACUUAUUUUGAGAGAGAGACGAGAAGAAAAUUAAAAUGCGUCAGGGUAGAUAAUGGUGGUGAGUAUAAAAGGCCAUUUGACCAAUAUUGCAGAUCCCAUAGAAUUAGACUUGAGAAGACCGUACUAAAACCCCACUGUAGAAUGGUAUUGCAGAAAUGAUGAACAGAACAAUUGAAAAGAGAGUCAGGUGUAUGCCUUCUGAUGCCAAGCUUCAUAAAUCCUUCUGGGCAGAGACUAUGCGUUCUGCAGUUGACUGGAUUAAAUUUUUCUCCUUCAGCUCCAUUGAUGGUGAUGUACCUGAGAUAGUUUGGACUGAAAUAUAUGUUUAUUACAAACACUUGAGAGUGUUUGGUUACAGAAUAUAUGUUCACAUUCAUAAGGAUGAAAGAUCGAAGCUUGAUGACAAAGCUAAAAAAUGCAUUUUCUUAGGCUAUGGGCAUAAAGAAUUUGGGUACAGAUUAUGGGAUCCAGUGCCAAGAAAAUUGAUCAGAAGUAAACAUGUUGUGUUCCUCGAAGAUCAAAUAGUUAGUGAUGCAGAGAAUAGUGAUGAGUCUCAGUCAUCUCUAAAGAUUCCUAUUAUUCUAACUUUAGUUUCUUCAUCUAUAGUUCAUAAUGAUCAUGGAGGAGCUGGAGAGGAUAGUAAUGAUGGUCCAGCAGAACUAGUUGACCAAGCACCUCCAGAACCACCUGCACCAUCAAUGGAGCCUGAAUUGAGAAGAUUUACUAGAGAACGGUGACCUUCCACCAGAUAUCCUCCACAUGAGUAUAUGAUGCUUACAGAUGAAGGGGAGCCAUAAUGUUUUGAAGAAGCCAUGUUUCAAAUAACUCACAAUAACGAUACAAGGCUAGACUGGUUGAUGGGGUACCUAGCAACUUCUUGUUGUGUGGGCUGAUCAGACUUUACUUUCUUAGUUUCUGAUUCUUCUUAUGCUUGCAUUGUUACAGCAUAUACGGAGGGUUGUGCCUUUUUACGCUUGUUGGAUGCCCUAGGAGUUCUGCUAGGAGAUUUGAUGGGAGGUUGUUGAGUAAUGCUUACUGUAGUAGUUUCCCCAGAUGUGAUUUUAGCAAUAAUAUCAGGGAAACUCUUAUUUGCUUCAUCAGUUUUUGUAGCCCUGGUAUCAGCUGCUUUAAUUUCUGCAUCAAUAUCAUCUUGAUCAUUGUCUGAUUCUUCAUCAGUCAGAACUUUUUGUUUACCUUUACUUAGAAACACUGUAAUCGGGGGUUCAUCAUCCUGCCCAUCCUAUGUCUCAUCUUCGUAAACUUUUAUGAUGUGCUUCUUUUUACGUUUAGGAGGUACUACUGGAGGUGCCUCAUCCUUCUACGUUGCUGAUUCGUCUUCUGUACUAUAUUCCUCCUCUAUUUCUUCUUAUUAUUUUUCCUUCUUCUCUUUCUCUUCCUCUGCUGGUAGUGGGUCUUUUUCAGAUUCUAAUUCUUCUUCACUCUCUGCUGCUGCCUCAACUACUGGAGCAUCCCUUGUUAAUGUUUGGAAAUUAAACGGCUACAACAAGGAGUCAUGGAAAUCUUUGCUCUUUUUCUUCAUGUAGACUUCAAACUAAUGUCUAUGGUUUUCAAGGUGCAUUAAAUAAUUCCUGAAUCUUUGAUUUUGUUCUUUCCAUGCGUGUACACAUUCAUUAAUGGUGUCACUUAAUUCUUGCAGCUUCAUCUCAAUGCCAGUAACGUUCAUUGCUCUGGUCACAACAACAUACUCUGGUGUUGCUGUAGUAGUAGUUUCCCUAGCAAUUCUUUCAACAAUUCGAUCAGUAAGAGCUCAUUCAUUCUUAAUGCUUUCAUCUUUUGCUGAUAUUUUCACCCGAAAUACCAGACAAAUCCUAGUAAUGAGUGAGCGAAACAACAAAGCAGCAAUCUUGUGAUUUUUCAUGGCACACUCUAAUCUCCCUCUCUAUAAUUUUCCUCACAUCAAUUGGUAUACCCUUGAAAAUGGCAUAUAAUAGGUAAGAUUUUCAUGAGAUACGGUGGUGGUGUAUGUGGUGGGUAUCAAUCGAGAUUUUAGAAAUUUUACCCACACUUUGGCUACUGGUUUCAAAUCAAUUCUAUUCACUCCUCUGCCUUCCUCAUUCAACCAUGAACUACCCUCCACCAUAAGGAUUUCAAGCACAUCACUUCACUCCUUAGCAAUCAUAUUCUCAAUCAUUUUUGAAUACUCACAAUCAAUAUCAUAUGGUAAAUUAUAAAAAAGCAUUGAUUACCCUCGGAUCUAAAGGGACUUGAACAUUCCUUACCACUAUUGUGCAUUGGUCUUGCCGCAACAUGUUGGAGUAAAAUUCCUUAACGAUUGGGAGCACAAGGUCUCGUGGGUGAGUGUAAAAAUCUAGCCAUCUUUUCUUUGCUACAGCAACAUAGAUUGUGUUGAUUGUUCCUGAUGGUUGUUGAGGGAAUUGAAAAUCAUUUUCCUCUAAAAUCUUCUUAGGCUCUAUAAAUUCUUCAAAUUAUCCUCGGCUUUGUCACUAUGGAAGCGUGAGGGGUCCUUUAGUCGAGCAGUUGUCUUCUUGUACCACGUUAUUGCUAGAGCAACAAAACUGAGUUGUUGGGUACCUAAAAAAGAAAAAACUCAUGAAAGUGACUCUAAAGUAUGUGGAGAACUGUGGACUAGAAGAGAAAAAAUUUGGAUAAGAAUGAAAAGAAGCAUUGUGAAACCCUAAUUUAUAGGUCACGGUAAAAUAGAAAAAAAUAAUUAAUGAGGUAAAUUUAGAAAUUGUAUUUGAAAUUUAAAAUAAAUCCACAUUUACGUUCGGGAAUUUAGGGAUUAUGUAAUCCAUUCUUAUUUUUUAUCUUGAUUUCUUGAGCCAUCUAUCAAAAAUUUACUCCCAACGGUGCAAAAAUACUUUCCAUAGUUAUGUCACUAUAACGGUAAGAAUCAUUGCUACAACAAGUAAUAUAGUGCUGCAGCAACUGCGAUAAAGUCCCUAGUUUGAUGAGAACCAUUGUUCAACUGUCAUAUAAAGUGUAAUGCUGCAACAUCUUGUGUCAGUGUUUUAUCCAAAAAAAAUUCAUUAUUAUUUAUACAUGCCGUAAUAAAAUAAUAGACACAAAUAAAUUAGAUAAAAACUUCAAAAUAUCAACAACCGUAAAGAAAAACAUGAAAACUAAAUUUAAUGUUAAAGGAAAAAUUGAAAUAACUCCCUUAAUCAUUGGGUUGCCUCCCAAUUAGCACUUUAUUUAAGGUCUUUCAGUCUGACCCCCCUUAAUUGCUCAAACUGGAUUUAUGAGGCACAAAUCCUCCCUUGAAUGGUGAAAAUCAUCAUUAAUAUAGUGUUUCACCCGCUGCCCAUUUACUAUAAAUUCAAUGCUAGUUCUCUCAUCUUUGAGGUCCACAGCCCCAUGAGGAUGGAUUUUGAUAAGUCCAAAAGGCCCUGACCAUCUAGACUUUAACUUUCCUAAAAAAAAGCUUUGAUCUAGAGUUGUAGAGCAAAACUCAUUGACCUAGAAUUAAAUCCCUUUGCUGGAUGCGUUUAUCAUGCCAUUGUUUUGUUUUGUCUUUGCAAAUCCUUGCGUUAUCAUAAAAGAACUAUCUUAAUCUUUAAACUCACAAAGUUAAAACUUCCUAUGCUCUGCUGCAACAUGCAUGUCCAUGUUCAGUUGUUUUAGCGCCCAAAAUGCUUUAUGCUCUAGCUCCAGUGGCAAAUAGAAAGCUUUGCCAUAUAUAAUUUUAUAUGGUGACAUGCCAAGUAGUAUUUUGUAAGCUGUGCGAUAUGCCUGUAAGGAAUCAUGUAAUCUAAAAGACCAAUAUUUUCUAGUAGGGUUCACCACUUUUUCUAAAAUCCUUUUUAUUUCCUUGUUGGACACUUCUGGCUGACCAUUAGAUUGAGGGUGAUAUAUUGUAGCAACCUUGUGCUUAAUUCUAUAUUUGGCCAAUGCUGCAGCAAAUAUUCUGUUGCAAAAAUGAGUGCUUUCAUCACUGAUGAUGGCUCUAAGAGUCCCAAAUCUUGUGAAAAUGUUCUUUUAAAUGAAUCUCACCAUGGCUUUGGCAUCAUUUGUUGGUAGUGUUACAACUUCCGCCCAUUUGAACACAUAGUUUAUAGCAACUAAAAUGUAUAAAUCCCCAAAAGAGGGUGGGAAUGGACCCAUGAAAUCCAUCCCCCCAACAUCAAAUAGCUCAACUUCUAAAAUGUUGGUUAAUGGCACUUCAUGUUUUUUAGAGAUGUUCCUUGUUAUUUGGCACCUGUCACAACAUUUAACAAACUUAUAAGCAUCUUUAAAAAUAGAGGGCCAGUAAUAACCUGAUUGUAUAAUUUUUUUACUGCUGGUCUGUGGCCUCCAAAAUGGCCUCCAUAUGCUACAGCAUGACAUGAUUGCAGUAUGUUUGAAAUUUCUUCAUCAGAUACAUAUCUUCUAAUCAUAUAGCCUGAGCAUAUCUUGUACAAAUAAGGUUCAUCCAACUGAUAACUUCUAACAUCAUUAAGAAAUCUCUUCUUCUAUUGGUAACUUAGAUUAAGUGGUAACAAUCAGCUCACCAAGUAAUUAGCAAAAUCUACAUACCAUGGAAGCCCAGAUUAUUGUAGCAUAUGUGUAUGCUUUAGCAUUAACAAUUGCUCAUUAAGAAAUGUCUCUGUGAUCUCUUGCUUGAUUAGAGUGCUUUCAUCUGCUUCCAGCCUUGAAAGAUGAAAUUCUCCUUGGUUCUCAGUCCCUAUUCUUUGUUUAAUCUCGAAGUCAAAUUCUUGUAGCAAAAGGAUCCACCUUAUCAACCUUGGUUUGGCAUCUUUUUUUUAAAAUCAAAUACUUUAUGGCUAAGUAAUCUGUGUAAACAGUCACUUUGGUGCCAACCAAAUAAGCUCUAAAUUUGUCAAAUACAAAGACAAUUGCUAGUAACUCAUUUUUCAAUGGUAGUGUAAUUAAUCUGAGCAUCAGCUAAAGUUUUGUUAGCAUUAUAAAUAGAGUGAAAAAUUUUGUUCUUUCUUUGCCCUAACACUGCUCCAACAGAGUGGUCGCUGGCAUCAGAUAUCAACUUAAAAGGUAAGUUCCAAUCUGGUGUUAUAACAAUUGGUGCUGUAGCAAAAGCUUUCUUCAAUUCUAUAAAAGUCUUUAAACAAAGCUUACCAAAAUAGAAAGGCCUAUCAUGCUCCAGCAGCUAGCAUAAGAGUUUUGAUAAUUUAGAAAAUCCUUAAUGAAUGUUAUAUAGAAUUAUGCAUGUCCCAAGAAAUUCCUAAUGCCUUUAACUGAAGUAGGUGGUGGGAGUUUACUAUUUUGACCUUCUCCACUUAUAUUCCUUUUCUAGAGACUUUAUGGCUUAGGAUUAUCCCUUCUUGUACCAUAAAAUGACACGUUUCCUAAUUCAACACUGAAUUUAUCUCCUCACAUAUUUUAAGCAUAUUUUCUAGAUUAUGUAAACAAUCAUCAUAGAUCUCCCCAAAAAUCGAAAAGUCAUCCGUGAAUACCUCAAGCGUUUGCUCUACCAUAUUUCAAAAAAUAGACAUCAUACACCUCUGGAAUGUUGCUAAAGCAUUGCACAAACUAAAGGACAUCCUUCUUAAAUCCUUCUGAAAUAAGCAAAAGUUUCAUAAAGACAAGUGAAUAUUGUCUUCUCCUUAUCCUCUAGUGCUAUAGCAAUAUGGUUGUAGCCAGAAUACUCAUCCAAGAAACAGCAGUACUUUUUUCCAACAAGUAUGUCUAGCAUCUAAUCUAUGAAAGGCAACGGGAAGUGAUCAUUCCUUGUGGCGUUGUUUAGCUUCCUAUAGUUCAUGCAAACUCUUCAUACAGUUACUGUUUUGUGGGAAUAAGCUCAUUCUUCUCAUUUGUUGCAAUAGUCACUCCACCUUUCUUUGGAUCACAUUGUACUGGACUCACUCAGGAGCUGUCGGAUAUUGGGUAGAUGAUUCCAGCAUCAAGUCAUUUGAUAAUCUCUUUCUUGGUCAAUUUGGGUGAGUACUUGCUAGCAAUCCUCUAGCAAUUAAUUUGAAUUCUUAUAGCUAUUUGACAACUAUUAAUUUAUGUUUUUAUAUUUUCAUAUUAAAUAUAUUUAUUUAUUUAUUUUGAUAAAUUUUUAAAAAAUCAUUACUUAAAUUUAAUUAAUGAAAUAUUUUAAAAAAAUAUUAAAUUGAUAAAAUAAAAUUAUAAAUAAUAACUAUUUGAUGACAUUAAACAAGUUAAAAAGUUAAAGGGGUAAUUUUAAAAGCUUUGAUUUCCAAAAGAAGAAGAAUUUGAAUUCUUCAAUUCUUUGUAUAAAAUUCAAAUUCUAUAUUAGGAUGAAUAGUAAAUUCUAAUAAAAUUUAAAUUCUUAUAUAUUUUGUCCAACCAAACAAUUAAAAAAAAAAAUUCAAAUUACUUUCCUAUUCUCUAUCCUCACCUCCCAACCAAACACCAUCUAAACUCCUUAAUAUGCCACCCACAUAUUCAAACACCUUUGAGAAUCAAAGUAUCCCAGAUCUCCAGUAAGGAACCACCCAAAUUGAAAAGUAGUCUUAUUAGCCUCAGGAUUACCUUUAAUCAAAGUAUCCCAGAUCUUGCUAGCAAUCCUCUAGCAAGAUCUUGUACAUACAUAUGGAGGGGCUGAUUCAUUUGAUAUCUUUCAUGGUCUAUCUAAUGGCCUUCUUGUAUCUCCCCAACAUUUCCACUCAGCUCUUUACUUGAUCUGCAUUCAAAGAAGAUGAAAUGAUUACAUGUAGUGUGUUAUUAUCACCAAGAUAAACAUAUUUUAGAUGUGAAGGUAGAAGUUUUAAGUAUAAAACAUGAGGUAAUUCAAUAGAUGGUACAGCAGGUUUCACUUCCCCAUUUGAAAGAUCUAGAGACUCAAAAUGUCUGUUUGUCCUCACAGGUCGCUUCUCUCUUAACUAUGCUAUAUGCGUUGCUGCAGCAUCUUCAUCUUCAAGUUCUUCAAAUGUGGCGGCCUUGAUUUCUUCAUUGUUGCAGCAAUUAUUUAAGAUGUCUGUGACAGUAAGCUUCACAGCACCGACCAAAUCACAAUCUUCAACUUCAUCAAGACUCAUCAUUGCUUCCAAUACAUUAAAGGUAACUUACUGAUCAUUAACCCUCAUACUCAACUCUCAUUUUUUAACAUCAAUUAAAGUUUUUCCUGUGGCUAAAAAGGGUUUGCCUAGAAUAAUUUGUACUUCUUUAUCUGCUUCAAAGUCCAACACUAUGAAAUCCACUGGAAAAAUGAAUUUAUCCACUUUAAUCAAUACAUCUUCAAUUUUGCCUUCAGGAUAAGCAUGAGAUUUAUCAGCAAGUUGCAAUGUCACUGUGAUUGGUCUGACUUCUCCAACUCCCAAUUAUGUGAAUACUGAUAAUGGCAUAAGAUUAAUGCUUGCUCUCAAAUCACAAAGUGUCUUACUAUUGUAUUUAGUUCUUGUGGAACAAAGAAUUUUAAAACUUCCUGGAUCCUUUAACUUCUAAGGAAUUUUACUUUAAAGUAUAUGGUUCCAUUAUUGUCUUAAAGCAACUAUUUUGAAUUCUCCAAGCCUUUUUUUUCUUGCCAAUAUAUCUUUAAAAAACUUCACAUAAUUUGGCAUUUGUUCCAAUACGUCCACAAAAGAAAUUUUGAAAUGCAGUUGUUUUAAUACUUCCAAUAAUUUACUAAACUGCUUGUCAUGUUUUUACUUCUGAAAUCAUUACGGGAAGAUUUCCCCUUGGGUAUAAUUAGGUUAUGUUCUUCUUUUUGGUACUUUAACUAAAAUAUGAACAUCCUUUUCAGACCUUAAGUUAAUCACCUUGCAAUGCUCUUUUCUUUCUCUUCUUGGAUCCUCUGUAUUGCUUAGUAAAUUGCCCUAAGGUAUGUUGCUCAAUGCUGUAGCAAGCUGUCCAAUCUGAUUCUCCAAGUUUCUUAAAGAUAUGGCUUGACUUUGGACUACUACUUCAUUCUUCACAAUAUACUCCAUAAUUAGAGUUUCAAAGGAACUAAAUUGAUCAUUACUGGUGUUUAUUUUCCCUUAAAAUUGCUGAUGAAAUCCAAGUGGCUAAGCAGGUCUGUUAUGUCCAUUAGAUGUUGCAACAUGCUGAUUCUGAUUGCUCCAUGAAAAGUUUGGGUGCUGUCUCCAUUCAGGAUUAUAGAUGUUUGAAAAUGGAUUGGUUUGAUUUUGUCUAUUGAAAUUGCCCGCAUAAUUGACUAAGCUGGAUUUCCAGGACAACUAUCAUAUAGAUGUCCCUCUCCACAAUAAACACAAGAGACUUCAGCAACUUGGUUAGUUGUUGCUGGAGCAGUGGUCGUUGAUUUUACCAUAUUUGUUAAUGAGGUUACUUGGGCUGAUAAUGAUGUCAGUGCAUCCACAUUGUGUACUCCAGUUACUCCUCUUAUUGCGGCUUGUCUAAUUAAUGGCCAUUAAUAGUUAUUGUUGGCUAUCUUUUUCAAAAUUUCAUAAGCCUCAUUGUAUUACUUAGACAACAAGGCCCCUAGUGUUUGAGUUCAACCCAUUGUAGAUAGUUUCCAAUUGUACACAACAAGGAAUACCAUGAUGAAGGCAUCUCCUGGGUAACUCCUUGAAUCUUUCCCAUGCAUCAUACAAGCUUUCAUCUUCAAGUUGAUGGAAAGAUGUGAUCUCAUUCCUCAACUUUACAUUCUUUGUCGGUGGGAAAUAUUUCAUCAAAAAUUUGUCAGCCAAAUCAUUCCAUGUGGUGAUGGAGUCUAGUGGCAAAGAAUUCAACCAUGCCCUUGCUUGAUCUCUUAAAGAAUACGGGAAAAUUUUGAGUCUCAAUGCAUCUUGUGAUGCUCCAGCAAUUUUAAAAGCAUCACUUACCUCCAAGAAUAGUUUAAGGUGAAGAUGAAGAUCUUCUUAUGGCAAUUCAUUGAAUUGCCCCACUGUUUGUAAUAUCUAAAACAUCACUGGUUUGAGCUCGAAAUUGACAACUUGCAUUUCAGGUCUAACUAUUCCAGGAUGUAUAACUUGAGGGGUCAACACGGCAUAGUCUCUAAUGGCUCUGUCUCUAUCAUCUGUCAUGUAGAUAAUAUUGUUGUUCCCUGGUUGUCCCCAAAUAUUCUGCUCAUUAUGGCUUUCUUGGUCAUUAACUGGUUAUAUUUCUCUGUGAGGGUUCAAGUUCCUCAUAUCUUGCAAAUCGUCCAUUACUACAGCAGCUUUUGAAUGCUUAUUCUCUUUCCUCAAUCUCCUUACAAUUCUUUCAAUCUCUGGAUCAAAUUGGAAUUCAACAUGUUUGUAUUUGCGCAUGCAAGGGUUGGUAGAGCUCUUCUACAAACACAUUAAAAAAAAAGAAAAUUAAAAUCUUGCAUCAACUAAAAUUGAUUUCACAAAACACAAUAAGCACCAAUCCCCGGCAACGACGCUAAAAACUUAUUGUAGGUUUUCUAAUGCUAUUAGUGUCAAUGUGCAAGUGCACAUAACAAGUAAUAUAAUGAUAAAUAUUCUAGAUUGUCUCCACAAGGAUUAUUGUUAUAGGAAUUGCUACAACAAUUUUAUCAGUGCAAUUUUUAUUCUAAAUUAGAAUUAAAAUAAAUUAUUAAAUUAAUGAACUAAUUAAGAUAAAAAUGCAAUAAGAAAAAUACAAUAACAUAAAUUAUCACAGCAAAUAUAAGGAUGUAACCAAGGGGAAUGGAGUAGUUGAGUAAUUAAACUCACUUAAUGGUUUUGAUUAUUUUUCUAAUGUUUGGUUCGAUUACUACAACAUCUUCUACAGCACUGGGAAGAAUCCUUAUGUAUCCUCAAUUGUCGCAUGUUGGAUGUCUUAUACCUAAAAACAACUUAACAAUGACCAAUUGUUAUGCUAACAUUAGAUAUAGCAUUACACGUUUUAGAUUCGAAUUACCCUACAAGGUGAAUCCUUAUAUCUAGUUCAUCACUAAUUUUAGAUUACGCAUGACCUUUUUUUAAUCAGGUUAAACCCAAUUCAGGAAACCCAAUCUAAACCCAACUUAGGAAACCUAAUCUAAACCAAGUAUUGUUAUGAUAUGUUCCACUAAGACAGGUCUUUAUAGGCUCUAUCUUAGCUAAUAUCACUAAAUGGGUGGUCAGCCAAAAUAGUGAAUUGAAAUAAGUAUUAUUAAAACAACGUACUAUAGCAAACAUGCCCCAAUAUAGUAUAUCAGUCAAUUAACUAUCAAGUUUGCUCAUCGCUCAACCACGAGUAAAUUUAGUUCAUAAUUUGCAAUAAAACAAUAAUCAAAAUAGUUUUAGCCAUCAAAUAAUCCAUCAUAACAAGAUAAAAGUAAGAGAACAAAAAAUAAGAGUUGAGAUCUGUUUGAUGUUCUUCUAGAAUUCUUUGUUGCCGUCUUCGAUUCUCUCUCUUGAUAUUUGUUUUAUCUUGUUUUGUUUCUCUAUUGUUUCUCUCAAAUGACGGUCUCUCCUUUUUCUUUGCGUUUGUACUUCUUUUAUAUCUUAGCAUCAGGGCAACCGGAAGCCUAGGGUGCGCAUAUUCUAGUUUAGGAAACUCAAGAUCGCAAUCUUCCAAGUAUUAUAAGCGAAAUCUUUUCUGCCAUUGUUCCAGGAUUGCUACAGGAACAAUGCUACAGCAAUGGCUUCAGCACCUGCACUGUUCCAGAAUUGUUUCAAUUCUUAUAUAACCAUAUUCUUUCUUUAUCUUUGCAAGCCUAUUGCAGCAGCAUUCCUCCCUUGAAAUUUGAGCUUCCGGUCACCUAUAAUUAUAUUAUGAUCUAAGCACAAAAAUUAUUCUGAAACAAUGCAAUUUAUUAAAAUAAACUAUGGAUAUUCAUACAAAAUAUAACUAAAAUGCAAUAAAAAUAUGCCAUUUACUCUCUAAGUAAUCUUGAUUUAAGUCUAAAAAUGUCAUGAAAACUUUCAUUUCACAGAGUUAUCAGCAGCAAAAGGGUUAAUCCAACUAUUGAUUUAGAUCAAGUCUAUAAUGACAAUAACCCCUAACUAUUUGAGCUUAAAGCUCUUGCCAGCAAAUGGGCAAUUGGGAUGAAAGUCCUCUAUAAACAACUUGAAUAGAUAAGUAAAGAAAAAAAAAUGUGGCUUCACUAAGUCAAAACAAAACAUAUAAUCUAUUCAUUCAGUAAAAAAGAAAACAUUUUAGCCAAGCAAGCCAUCUUGAAAAAGAAAAAGGCAAUAUAUGAGAAUCUCGUGGAAUCCAACCUGCCAACACACAGUGGGAUAUGCAAGGUGCUUAAUCAUCAAUCAGAUUCUGGCUUUUGCUAUAAAAAAAAAAUCAAAAGAAUAAUCUAGUAAGGAAGACAUGCCGCUAGAUGAAGAGCUCAUAAUUAACACGUGACAGGAGGCCACUAAAAAGAUAAAGAUGCCAACUAGAAGCAUUAAUAUUUCAGAAAGAAUCCAAAGUAAAGGAUAAGACUUAUCGAAAUCCUUACCUCAACCAUGUGAAGACUAUCAACCAUUAGAAAAAGAAGACAAAAGUUGCCCUUAAUAAUGCAAGAAGAAGGGGUUACCUUAUCUCUGGGAAAUCUAUCAGGCAACAAGUGUCAUGUAAAAAGAUAUAAUCUUAUCUCUAAAAUCUAUAUGUGUAAGAAAGGAUUAUCUUAUCUAUCUAAAUCUAUAAAUAAAGUCACGUAAGAUAGAAGAGGUAUCACUCACGAGCAUUCUCUUAUUCUCAUCUGUAUUCUCUCUUUAAAUUCAAAAAUUAAAUAAAAAAAUUGUUUUUGAGUGAAAUUAUUAUCUUUAUAUAACUUAUUUAGAUUUUAGAAAAAAAAAAUCAAGAAUAUACAUGCCAACACUUGUGCUAAAUAAAGAAGAUUUCAUAUUACUAAGCACUCUUCUAUAUCAAUUACAACAGAUUCACUUAGGCAUAUCUUACUGGCUUAGUCUGCAAUGUGUUGCUUUAGGCCGUGUGGAAUAGUUGUGGGAUUGAUCUUGCAUGAUGUGUGGAGCUAUAACAGUGCUGAGCAUGGGCCAAUUUAUAGGCUCAUGGAACUAGCAAAAUUAUUCUAGAAUUUUGAGGAUUGUACUCUAGUUAGUACUCUAAAUUAUCUUAUUAUAUUUUGCACAAAUAAAUGAUAUAGAGUGAUAAUAGCAACUCAAUUUUCAUAAAACAUGGAAAGAUGAGUCGCCAAAUUUCUAGAUGCCAUAGAUAAUCUAGACUUUAGUAAGGAAUAUCAAGUUAUUUAUACAAUGAAAAUUGUUAAAUCUCGAUUAAUUGCAAGGAAGCACUUGUAGAGAGAUAUAGAGAGAAUAAACUAUUAGCCUAAAAGGGCUACACAUAUUGUAAUUUUGAUGAUAACAAACAUGUGUCUUAAGUGAUUUGAUAAAUAUUGUAUAUCACAUUUUCAUUAGUUCUUGAAAGAUAAUAUUUAUGAUGAAGUGAAUCACGAAAAAUCAAGCUCAAGACACUCAACGGACAACGGCGUGAUCAAGAAUAAAGUUUAGAGUUCAACGGAAUCAUUAUUGCGACAAUUCUUGUAAAGCCGGUAUGAUUUAAAAUAUGAAUGAUUUAGCAUUUAAAAAGCUCAAGAUUUUGUUUAAUAAAUCAUUAUUUUUUCAUAAAUCAAAAGUUUUACAAGUAUAAGCUAAGUAUUUUAUGAAAUUAGUUAUUUUUCAAGAUGUGGACUAAAAUGAAAAUUUUUUACAAUCUUUGAUUUUAAAAAGUAUUGUUUUGAAUUCCAGAGUUUGACUUAUUUGCAAACAUUUAAAACUUUUUAGGUCAUACUAUAAUUUAUGAACGUUUGAGGACCCGAAGUGAAAAUAUCCAAAAAUUUGAUAAAGAGUUAGCGGCUAAUCGCCUGAGGGCUAGCGGCUAGCUGCCUAAGGAAAAUCUCAUAUUUUCAAAUUUUGGACUAAAUUAAAAGAUUUUGAGAACUUUGAAAUUUAUAAGUAUUAUGUUAAAUUUUGAAAAAAAUUAUUAAACUUUGGACCAUAUCAUAAUUUCAAAAAGUUUUUAGAAUAACAAGUAUUAUUUUAAAAUUCAAAAGUUGGACCUGUUUGUAAAGUGUUAUAACGUUUUGGGCCAUAGUAUAAUUACAUAAAGUUUUGGGCACAAAUGUAACUUUAUUGUUCUGAAGCAACGAGCCGGAUAAAUUAAGUGGCUAGUCACUUGUUUGCUGGAAUUUACCCAUAACGGCUAAUUUUCAAGCUUUAUCUAUAAAAACUCAACUCCAACUUCAAUUUGGAGACUUUUGCAAGCAUAAACAAGUGCAUAAAAUAUAUAUUGAGCUUUUAUUUCGCAAAUCAUCUUAUAUUGAAUCAUCAUUGUGCUAUUAUUUGUAGAUCUACUCUAAAAGAGAGUUUUUUUUGUUGUAUUAUUCAUUUUUCUCAUCAAAUUUGUAAGUGUAUAAGUGUGAGAAACACUUAUGUGAAGAGAUUGAGAGAUAAUCUCUUGGUUGUAAAGGUUUAUUGACAUCUUGAAAGUCAAAUGUAAUGAACUUGAAGCCUUGGGAAACUUGAAUAGUGAAAUCCUUAAGGUUGGUUGGCUUGGAGGCAUGGACGUAGGCGGGGAUUGCGGAACCACGUAAAAAUUAUUGUGUUUGCUCUAUUUUCCCUUACUCUUCUAUUAUUGUACUUUAUUGAAUUUUUUAUUUUUUAUUUGAUUAAGACAAUAGAUUGAAUUGUUGUGCGAAUUGUUUAGCGUAAGUUUUAAAAUCUCAAUUCACCUCCCCCCCCCCUCUUGGAUUGCAUAACUUGCAUUUCAUAAACUUUAAAGAUAAUAAUUAAAUAUACGACAGCUUUAAGGAAGAAAAUAGAAUAGUAUUAAUAGAAUCUAUUUUAACCGGUCUUGAAAUAAUUCAAGACAGAUGCAAAAUAAAUAACAGGACUCUAAACCGUCCAUAAUAAGUCUAUUGAUGAAUAAAAACAAUAAUAGUGAUGUGAAUAUAUUCGGAUUUUAUAGAUUUUUAUGAAUUUGAUAACCAUUUAGAUCUUUAUAAAAUUAUAAUAAAACUUUAAAAAGCUUUAAAAAUAUAUGUAGAAAAGAUGGAAGAAGAAAUCAUCCAUUUAUUCAAAAUCAAUUAAACAAAAAUAAAAGGUAAAAUACUUGAGUUAUAUCAAUUAUACAAUUUCACAAAAAUUUUACAUAGAUUGCAAAAAGGUCCUUGUGGCACUACAGCAGGUUUCAUAAAUUUUUUACAUACAAAUUUUAUGUUUUAAAAUAUGAAUUUUUUUUUGUAUUUAAUACUUUGUUCAACUAUAUGUACAGGUCCUCAACGUGUUGGUUGAUGUUGAAUAUUCAAAGAUCCACAAGCUAUCAAUGACAACGACUCAAAUUAAACUAAUUCGUUAAUACAUAAUAACUGGGUUGUUUCCUAUGCUUGUUAAUGAUGUAGGACGUUGUUUUAGAAUUUUAGAAUUUUAAUUUUUUAGGUCUUCUGAUAUUUUCUUUUUUAAUUAAAGUUAGUGUCUUAGUCUUUUAUUUCUAUUGUAAUUAUGAUUUACUUUCCCUUUUUAAGUUAACUUAUAAAAGUAGAUUUACUCUAUUAUAAAUAAAGAGAUCUUGUUAUCGCUUUUAUAACUUCAACUUCAGUUAUUAAAUUAAAAACCCCUCUUUUAUAAUUUCCUUUGGUAUUAUCUAUUAAAAAUUCCUCUUUUAGAGUUGUUUGAUUAGAGUAUCAUUUAGCCUAUCUUAACACAGUAUUAAAAAUCCCAUUGAGUUUAAUCAUACUUCGAUUUGAGCGUAAUUAAUAGCAUUGAUUUGGUCCAGUACUUGAACGAUAUCUAGUGUUUUGCUUCUGCUACGCCCAAGGAGAAAAUGAAUUUCACCGUGAGAUAAGAGCAUUAAAAGGAAUUCAUAAGAAAUUUAAAUUAAAUUAGCUACGAAGUGAAAAUAAAUAAAUAAAUAAAUGAAUAUGAAGUUGAAAAUAAGUCUCGCCGCCUGGAUCCAAGGCCAAAACAUUCAUGAUAAGUUAGGUAAUUAAGUACAUGUUUUCAAGCUCUUCAUGAAGAAUAAUGUUAUUGAAAUAAAUCACAAAGACUCCCUGCGCAAAUUAUUACAUUGAUUAAAAAAAAAAUGCCAUAUCUUUAACAGGAUCGUGGCUCUCGGACUGUUAAUUACUUUAUUCCCUGCUUGGCCAACAGCUGGCCACUAAACAAAAUCAUAAAAAUUUUAAAUUUAGUCAAAUUGGUCCCACUUGAUGUCAUCCUUUUCAUACAUAAAAUUGUUUAACGUCAAGGUUAAAUAUGAGAAGUUUGGUAGAGACGGUAAAAAGGAAGUCUAUAUAAGGAGGGGAACGAGCUUUGUUUAUAGCACAAGUGAAACUCCACUUUAUUGAACGAUAGGGUCUCAAAUGGGCUGCCUCUUUGCCACUCUUUUGGUAGUAUCAGUCUCUCUUAGCUACUUGCCGUUAGAAGCCUCCGCAAACAAAUACUACUACACAUCUCCUCCCCCUCCCAAGUACAAGUCUCCACCCCCCCCGCCACCGGUUCACAAUUCUCCACCACCACCCCCGGUUUACAUGCCCCCGCCACCUCCUCCACCAGUCUACGUGCCUGCUCCGGCACCAACUCCAAUUUCCUAUUCCCCGCCACCUCCUGUCCCCAAGUCCCCACCACCACCUCACCCUUACGUCUAUGCAUCUCCCCCUCCUCCUUACUACUACUAGAAAGCGGCCAUGAAUAGCUCAUGCUUUUAUGGUAAUCUCAUUUAUUUUUAAAACU
rnacentral:lncRNA from 1 species